rnacentral:lncRNA from 1 species
UCAGGCGAGGCCAGGUCGUGAAGAUCAUCAGGCCCAGCGAGACGGCGGGCAGAUACGUUACAUACCGCUACGUUGUAUGACAGAACGUCAGAACACUGAAGAAGAAGAGAACCACAGAUAUGUCAAAAAAACUCAGCUAAUUUAAGAGAUAUAACUAACAAUUAUAUGGUUUAUUGGCUGGUCUGUUCUGAACCACUCAGCUAAUUUUAGCUGCUAACCGUUAGUUUGAGGUUUGCUUUUGGCAUGAAUUCUUCUUCUUGCGUAACAAGGACAAAUAUUGGCAUGAAGCAAAAAAGGCUAUUCAAAAAUCAGUUAUUCUUUGCCAACAAUCACACAAGAAAAGAUGAAUCCAUAAACAUUUAAAGAACACUAUAAUAUAGAUAGUAAUACUAACCUUGGUAGCUCUUCCUUUAAUUGUAGAUUCUCCAUUACAAUUUUUGUAAUUUUCGGAUUACGAUCUAAUUGACCCCGUUAGACUUCUAAUUCCUUUACAAGGUUUUCCUUCUCUUGUAAAAGAUAUGAUUCAACAGGUAACUUCCUUGAAACAACCUGCUCCAGUCUUUUGAUCCGUUCUUCACGAUACUUAGGCCUCAUCUUGAAGCUGCUUACCUCUUCUGUCUUUUUGAGCUGCCUGUGUGAGAACAUAAUAUUUAAAUCAGCAAACACAGACAUAGCCGAUUGGCCGAUUGAAGGGUGCUGGUAUCGGCGGAUUGGAGGAUGGCGGGAUUGAGAGCCGGGGCAGGGGCAAGGCAGAUUUGGGGCGAGCUUUGCGGCCGCUCCUUCCAUGCAUAGCGUGGGCGAGCUCAGGUGGCACUGCAAUUCAUGAUCACAAGGUUAUUCUGCUAUUCUGAAUGUGUUUCUUUCCCACCACCACGAUGCUUUAUUAAAAAAAACUUAAAAAAAGGUCGGUUCAGGAAUCCUUCAUCAAAUCUUGAAGAUGAUGUGUGGGAAUGAAGAUGUAGUAUAAGGUGUCAUUUAGUUGUGCAAGGCCGCGUGGAGUGUCAGCUGGGGAUUUGGACCAUUUUUUAAUUGUUAACUGGGUCAGGUCAAAACUUAUGCUAGACAUGAAUUAACGUUAAGCAGACCCAAACAAGAUAUCUCAAAUGGUCAUAGAAUGGAAUUGCUGGUAAUAUUAAUUCAAAGUGAUUAAAAUAGCAAACCUGAACAUUUCUUUCCUCCAUUAGAAUCUCAUUCGCCUUCUCACACAAAACCCUUACUUGUAGCACAUAAAUUGCAGGGGAUCGAAGCCUCCAAUUCAGUACUACAAAUCAUCACAAUCUUGAACUGAAGAGGAGGGUUAACGGACUUUUAGAAACAUCCAUUCCCAUCUAGUAUUUCUAUCCGGUACUGUAAAUAAUCGUAAUACUCAACUGAAGCCAAAUAAUUAGCUGUCGAUCAGAAACAUGCUCCCAUCCAGUGUACUGCUUUCCUAGUGAUAAGGCAAACAGAACAGCUGCUACAAGUAUUCAGUUUUCAAUUUCAGUUCAACAAGUAUUCCAACAUUAUGCACAUGCAUAUACCUGUUAAGAUGUUUAAAAUUCAAGUUAUAUCAUGGUGAUAUGUAAAUCAGCGAAGUAUUGAUGUAGAGAUCAAAUAAAUGAGGCAAUGCAACUUUACUGAAACUGGAAUUUUAGACCAACGUGCUGACUACUGAACAAGAAAAAAUGAACUGUAUGAAUAAAUCAUGCUACAAAAGUUGUGAAUCAUAAGACAAUAUGUUAAUUAAAUCAUGCUACAAAUGAUAGUGCAGUCCUUUAUUUAAUAAAAAAUAGAAAGCUUUCAUGUAUCAUUACCAUGCAGUGUAAUCAGAUUGAUGAAAUAGGCAUUAUACAUAAAAUUCAACAUCAAUUACACUAACCUUACUAUAAGGUGUAGAGGACGAUGCUCCACCCAGCCUGCUCAGCUCUCUCCCUCCAAGCAGCAAAAGCACGGCUUGGACCUACGGACGAAACCAAUAGCUCUCAUCAAUCUUGCGAAUUGAAUUGACUACAAGCAGAGAAAACAAGUUCACAUCUAUAGAGGGUAGAAGAGGAGGGGGGCAUUUUAGGGGAGACAAAGAGAACCAACACUGUGCGAGUCCAUCUGCCUGGAAUGCAACUCGCCAUGGAAAAAGAGGGUGAGCUGGUUGGUCGCCAUGGGCGGCACAACCCCAGCCACGAGGUGUUCCACAGAUGGGGCAACGACGGCGAGGGGCGGGGCGGCGAUCCCAUCUGCCGGUUGCAGGUGCUGACCGGGCCUCCACCAAUGGGGCAACGACGGCGAGAGCGGGGCAGCGAUCCCAUCCACCGGCUGCUGGUGUCGAUCGGGCCCCAUCACGGCUAGUACGACUUGUUUCCAUCGUUGUUGGACGUGACGAGAUCAGAUCGAACAAUAGGAUGUGGGGUGAAGGGUAACCCUAUGUGGGAGAGCAGUGGGCGACGAGCGGCGCGUGCGGAGAGAGGGAGAGGAGGGGUUGUGAGCGCGUGGAGAGAGGGAGAGGAGGGGUCGUGAGGGCGGCCUGUCUAUGGAGAACGCCCUGAGGCGUGGUCACCGGUGAGGGCGCACGCGGCGGCUCGUGGAGAGAGCGACGACGGGGAGGAAGAGUGGCGGCCACAGCCUAACGAAGCCGGAAAGGAGGUGGCGGUGGGAGAGAACCUGUGCGGGGGAAGAAGGGGGUGACGGGGGCGCGGGCAGAAGCACGGGUCAAGGAUGGACGGGCGCGGCAAUGCGGCGCAAAUUUGGGCAUCGGGAGAGGGAGCGAGGGAUGGCGUGACGUGCGGGAGGUCGCGAGCGAGAGCCGGGGGCACGGCGUCUGUGGACGCCCUCACUGUAUGUAGUAGAGAUCUAUAAUUUCUAAAAUAUUUUUAACUAUUCCUUAAAGAAACUCCUACGUACACUAUAACUCCUUUUUUAUAUAAUACAUAUAAAAAAUCUUAUACUAAUUUAUAGUAACAUAAUACACAAUACUAUCUUAUUACAGGAUACAAUUAAGGUUAAAAAUGACUUAAUUAAUGUAUAGAGGACAUAUUGCUCCUACACUUAUACAAUAAAAUUCUGCCUCCCUAUACAUAUACGUCCUGAUGGAUGGCUGCGCGUGGACGUGCAGGCUCCGCCGUGCUUGCCGGUCGGAUACAGACAUUUGGCGCGUACCGGCAGAUACCCGGUUUAUUUUGCAUCUGUCUAUGCAACAUGCAUCUCUCAUAUGCAGUCAACCAAACACAAAUUUAAAUAAAGUCAACAUAUAUGGUGGUCCAAAAUAAGAUGAUACAGAUAGCCAAUCAGGCAGAUAUAGAAAGAGCAUUUACAGUUACCCGUUGUGGUACAAUAGCUAUGGUAUGUUUUUUUAAGGCAGCUGUAGCCAAAAUCGUUGAAGGUAGUCUCAUAAUCAACAGUUCCACAGAGUUGUGCAAAUUUAAUGGCCUCUUAUACAUUUUACUCUAACGGGGCAUUUGGAUCCAUUCAUUUAUGGGUGGCGGAUGAGAAAUGAUUUUAUGUAUUAGUAGAAUUUGUUUAUACUCUGUAACUUACAUGACACCAUUCGUCUCAGUCCUCUAUAGUAAAAAUGUAGCACAUAAAUAUCUGUAACAUUUUGCUAAUAAUAGUAUACAAAUAUAUUUUGUAUAAAAUCGAAUUAGCUUAAUUGAUAUAUGACUGAAUUAUUAUUAUUAGAAUGAAAUUUAAUUUCAAUGAUCUAAACCAGGUGUAAGAUAAAAAAAAAACUCUCUCCGUAUAUUCGAUAGAAGGGGCUAGCUCGUUCUCUAGCUAUGAACGCUACAUCCUUCUAUCCACAUAUACGAUUCAUCAUUGUUCUCAAUAUUUUUGUCUACCUAUUUUAUGGCAUGAGAAGAGUACCGAUAUCAACUGUAAUACGUCCUGUCUGGAUGCUGUUUGGUUCACACGUUAUUAAAAGAAUAAUAAUAGGAUUUUUUUAGCGGCGGUAAUGAUUACUAGUUAUAAUUAGAUUGGAUUGUAGUACCUAGUUCUAUCAAUAAAAACUUAACCAAACAAAAGUAUCGGUAUCUAUUAACCAAACAAAAGUAUCCUUCGUUUUUUGGAAAUGACGGAGAUCAUUAUUAAAUGUGGGAGACAAAUGUGUCGACACCUAUCUUGCCUCUCUAGAUUGCAAAGGGGUCCAAAACUAGGGAUGUCAAUGGGUACGGGUAUGGGUAAAUAACCGCGGAUAAUUAUCCAUUUGAUAUGGGUAUGGUGGAAUUUGAUAUCCGCGGGUACGGUUAUGGAUAUAAUAAGGUAUCCGCGGAUAUUUUUUUCGCGGGUAUGGAUAUCCAGUAUCUAUACCCGUUACCCAAUUGAUAUCUAACAUGUGGGCCAUCCAUAUUUAUAUAUUAUCAUAAAUUCUUAUUUAUCAAUUUUUAUCCAUAACAUGUUGUUUGGUGCUGAAAUUAUCAUUUAAUGCUAUUGGAAUGAUGAUUAUCUUGAAAUGUAAUAAAAUUGUUGUUUAGUGUUUAAUGCUAAAAUUGUAGUGGGCGGGCGGGUAACGGGUAUCCACUGGAUAGCGGAUACCCGGCGGUUACGGGUAUGGAUACAGAUCCAUACCCACGAACGUUUAUGGGUACGGAUAUGGGUUAAGUUUUGUCUCGCGGGUAUAGAUUUGCGAACUAUAUAUCCGUGUACUACCCGCGCGAUUGCCAUCCCUAUCCAAAACAAAGUCUUAGGUAUGAGUGCUUUAAGCUCUCUUAUCGGGUCAUUGAUAAAUGCAAUCGAGGCUGAACCAAUAAUCGCAAAAUGAAAGUCACGAGCUUGAAGUUCGGACAUUUAUGGGCACUAUUGAAAUAAUGUGUGGUAAAUGUGAUGGUUCAAGUAGUCUUGUGAGAGACCCACCUGUCGGGGACCAUAAUUAGGGGUACCCUCAAGACUCCUAAUUCUCAGCUGGUAACCCCCAUCAGCACAAAGCUGCAAAGGCCUGAUGGGUGCGACUAAGUCAGGGAUCGGUCCAUUCGAGGGACUCGAUCACGCCUCGCCCGAGCCCAGCCUUGGGCAAGGGCAGCCGACUCCGGAGGAUCUACGCCUCGCCCGAGACCCCCCUCCAGCGACGAACAUACUUCCGGCUCGCCCGAGGCCCAGUCUUCGCCAGAGCCAAAGUGACCGCAGUCACUUCGCCGCUCCACUGACCGGCCUGACAGAAGGACAGCGCCGCCUGCGCCGCUCCGACUGCUGUGCCACUUGACAGAGUGAGGCUGACAGGCAGCCAGGCCCGGCCUCGGGCACCAUAGGAAACUCCGCUCCGCCCGACCCAGGGCUCGGACUCGGGCUCAGCCCCGGAAGACGGCGAACUCCUCUCCGCCCGACCCAGGGCUCGGACUCGGGCUCAGCCCCGGAAGACGGCGAACUCCGCUCCGCCCGACCCAGGGCUCGGACUCGGGCUCAGCCCCGGAAGACGGCGAACUCCGCUCCGCCCGACCAAGGGCUCGGACUCGGGCUCGGCCCCAGAAGACGGCGAACUCCGCUCCGCCCGACCCAGGGCUCGGACUUGGGCUCAGCCCCGGAAGACGACGAACUCCGCUCCGCCCGACCCCAGGGCUCGGACUCAGGCUCAGCCCCUGAAGACGACGAACUCCGCUUCGCCCGACCCCAGGGCUUGGACUCAACCCUGGCCUCCGCCGGUGGUCUCCGCCUCGCCCGACCCAGGGGCUCGGACUCGACCUCGGCCUCGGAAGACAGACUCGACCUCGACCCCGGAGGAGCCUCCACAUCGCCCAACCUAGGGCACGGACCGACCACGUCAACAGGAGGCACCAUCAUUACCCUACCCCAAGCUGACUCAGGCUACGGGGAACAAGUCCGGCGUCCCAUCUGGCUCGCUCCGCUAGACAAGUAAUGAUGGCGCCCCGCACGCUCUAUGACGACGGCGACUCUCAGCCCCCUUACGGAAGCAAGAGGACGUCAACAAGGACUCGACAGCCCCGACAACUGUCCUUCCGCCAGGCUCCAGCGCUCCUCCGACGGCCACGACACCAUACGAACCGGGUGCCAAAACCUCUCCGGCUGCCACAAUGGCAUGUACUUAGGGCGCUAGCUCUCCUUUGCUAGACACGUUAGCACUCUGCUACACCCCCCAUUGUACACCUGGAUCCUCUCCUUACGCCUAUAAAAGGAAGGACCAGGGCCCUCUUACAGAGGGUUGGCCGCGCAGGGAAGAGGACGGGACAAGCGCUCGCGUGAGGCCGCUCGCUCCCCUCCCGCGUGGACGCUUGUAACCCCCUACUGCAAGCGCACCCGACCUGGGCGCGGGACAAACACGAAGGCCGCGGGAUUUCCACCUCUCUCUCGCUCCGGCUGUCCUUUCCCCCCCUUCGCGCUCCGUCUCGCGCCGACCCAUCUGGGCUGGGGCACGCGGCGACAUUUCACUCGUCGGCCCAGGGACCCCCCCAGUCUCGAAACGCCGACAGUUGGCGCGCCAGGUAGGGGCCUGCUGCGUGUUGACGAACAGCUUCCCGUCAAGCUCCAGAUGGCAGUCUCCAGCAACCUUUCCAGCCCGGGACAGUGCUCCGUUUCGGGAGUCUUGAGUUCAUGUCCCUUGACGGCAGCUACGACAUGAUACUCCUUCCCCCGUCGUGCGACAGCGACAAUGGCGGCCGACAGCCCGCCCGCUGGCGGCGGAAUCGACGACGUCUUCCCCGCGUGGGGGAAGAACAACAUUCGAGCUCACCCUGCCCUCUCCCCCGCCGACGGAGGAGGAGGCGGGGAAACCAAGGCCAAGCAGGAGGCGGCACCUCGUCGGCUGUCGAGCGAGUCGACGGCGCCGGCGCCCCAACGGGGGCACGUCGGGCAUCGACCUCGCGUUUGAGACGAAGACGAGCGCCGUCUCCCCGCAACACGCCAAUUCCAAGCAAACGGACGACACUAGCACGCUCGCGAAAGGCUUGCUUGGCGUCACCCUCGUACCUGAGACGACGGUGCAGUCAGUCCCUGACGUGACUUCGUCACCGCCCGUCGACCAAGAGGUACCCACCGAUUCCCAUCUCACGCCCUUUGGAUUCAGCCUCGACCCGCCAAGCGACUUCGCUUUGGUGGACGCUCUCGUAGAGGCGAGUCCAAACCCUCUGGGGUUUCAUAUGCGGUCACCCUGGGACCGGCUGACGGACGUCUCGACCUACGGGCCCUCGGGGUCCGAGGAAGAUGACGUGUCCGACUUCUAUUGGGAUUUCUCCGGACUUGGUAACCCUAGUGCCAUGCGGGACUUCAUGACCGCAUGCGACUACUGCCUUUCCGACUGUUCCGACGGUAGCCGCAGCCUCGGCGACGAGGACUGCGGCCCAAGUCGUGAAUGUUUCCACGUCGAUCUAGGGGGUCCCUCCGAAGGCAACCAUCUUGGUAUGCCGGAGAACGGUGAUCUCUCUAGGCCUGUGCCUCGCGUUGACAUCCUACGGGAGCUAGCUGUGGUCCCCGUUCAGGCGGGGGGUCAUGACCCACAGCUCGAGCAAAUCCGCGGGGUGCAGGCCAGGCUCGACGAGGGAGCAGGAACACUUGAGCCGAUCCGCCGGGACAUCGGGCAGGAAUGGGCGGGCAAACCUCCGGCCGGAGAAGUGCGUCAUCUACCCCAGGGUAUCCAGCACCGCAUCGCCGACGAUGUCAGGGUGAGGCCGCCACCCGCUUCCAGUGGAGUUGGCCAGAACCUGGCUGCAGCGGCAAUGCUUCUCCGCGCUAUGCCGGAGCCAUCAACCACCGAGGGGCGCGAAUCCAGGGAGAGCUCAAGAAUCUCCUGGAGGGCGCCGCGGUCCGACGGGCCAAGAGCUCCACCUCCCGAAGGUAGGGGUACCCCUCGGAACAUCGCGCCGCGACUUCCCGAUUCAUGCGGGAAGCCUCGGUCCACACCGGGCGCACGCGCGACACACGCAACGAGCACCAUCACCGCAACCGUCGGGCCCAACUCGACGAAAGGGUGCGCCGAGGCUACCACCCCAGGCGUGGGGGACGCUACGACAGCGGGGAGGAUCGGAGUCCCUCGCCCGAACCACCCGGUUCGUAGGCUUUCAGCCGCGCCAUACGACGGGCGCCGUUCCAGACCCGGUUACGAACCCCGACUACUAUCACAAAGUACUCGGGGGAGACGACACCAGAACUGUGGCCCGUAGACUACCGGCUGGCCUGCCAACUGGGUGGAACGGACGACGACAACCUCAUCAUCCGCAACCUCCCCCUGUUCCUCUCCGACACCGCUCGCGCCUGGUUGGAGCACCUGCCUCCGGGGCAGAUCUCCAACUGGGACGACCUGGUCCAAGCCUUCGCUGGCAAUUUCCAGGGCACGUAUGUGCGCCCUGGGAACUCCUGGGACCUCCAAAGCUGCCGACAGCAGCCGGGAGAGUCUCUCCGGGACUACAUCCGGCGAUUCUCGAAGCAGCGCACCGAGCUGCCCAACAUCACCGAUUUAGAUGUCAUCGGCGCGUUCCUCGCCGGCACCACUUGCCGCGACCUGGUCAGCAAGCUGGGUCGAAAGACCCCCACUAGGGCGAGCGAGCUGAUGGACAUCGCCACCAAGUUCGCCUCUGGCCAGGAGGCGGUUGAGGCUAUCUUCCGGAAGGACAAGCAGUCCCAGGGCCGCCCACCGGAAGAUGCCCCCGAGGCGUCAACUCAGCGCGGCGCCAAGAAGAAAGGCAAGAAGAAGUCGCAAGCGAAAUACGACGCCGCCGACGCGAACCUUGUCGCCGCCGUCGAGCACAAGAACCCUCGGAAACCCCCCGGAGGUGCCAACCUCUUCGACAAGAUGCUCAAGGAGCCGUGCCCCUAUCAUCAGGGCCCCGUCAAGCACACCCUUGAGGAGUGCGCUAUGCUUCGGCGCCACUUCCACAGGGCCGGGCCACCCGCGGAGGGUGGCAGGGCUCGCGACGACGACAAGAAGGAAGGUCACCAGGCAGGAGAGUUCCCCGAGGUCCGCGACUGCUUCAUGAUCUACGGUGGGCAAGCGGCGAACGCCUCGGCUUGGCACCGCAAGCAAGAGCGUCGGGAGGUCUGUUCGGUAAAGGUGGCGGCGCCAGUCUACCUAGACUGGUCCGACAAGCCCAUCACCUUCGACCAAGCCGACCACCCCGACCACGUGCCGAGCCCGGGGAAAUAUCCGCUCGUUGUCGACCCCAUCAUCGGCGACGUCAGGCUCACCAGGGUCCUCAUGGACGGAGGCAGCGGCCUCAACAUCAUCUAUGUCGAGACCCUCGGGCUCCUGCGUGUUGAUCUGUCCUCGGUCCGGGCAGGCGCUGCGCCUUUCCACGGGAUCAUCCCCGAGAAGCGCGUCCAGCCCCUCGGACAACUCGACCUUCCCGUCUGCUUCGGAACACCCUCCAACUUCCGAAGGGAGACCCUCACGUUCGAGGUGGUCGGGUUCCGAGGAACCUACCACGCAGUAUUGGGGAGGCCAUGCUACGCGAAGUUCAUGGCCGUCCCCAACUACACCUACCUCAAGCUCAAGAUGCCAGGCCCCAACGGGGUCAUCACCGUCGGCCCCACGUACCGACACGCGUUCGAAUGCGACGUCGAGUGCGUGGAGUACGCCGAGGCCCUCGCCGAGUCCGAGGCCCUCAUCGCCGACCUGGAGAGCCUCUCUAAGGAGGUGCCAGACGUAAAGCGCCACGCCGGCAACUUCGAGCCAGCGGAGACGGUUAAGUUCGUCCCCCUCGACCCUAGCAGCGACGCCUCCAAGCAGAUCCGGAUCGGCUCCGAGCUCGACCCCAAAUAGGAAGCAGUGCUCGUCGACUUUCUCCGCGCAAACGCCGACGUUUUCGCGUGGAGUCCCUCGGACAUGCCUGGCAUACCGAGGGAUGUCGCCGAGCACUCGCUGGAUAUCUGAGCUGGAGCCCGACCCGUCAAGCAGCCUCUGCGCCGAUUCGACGAAGAAAAGCGUAGAGCCAUAGGCGAGGAGAUCCACAAGCUAAUGGCGGCAGGGUUCAUCAAAGAGGUAUUCCAUCCCGAAUGGCUUGCCAACCCUGUGCUUGUGAGAAAGAAAGGAGGGAAAUGGCGGAUGUGUGUAGACUACACUGGUCUAAACAAAGCAUGUCCGAAGGUUCCCUACCCUCUGCCUUGCAUCGAUCAAAUCGUGGAUUCCACUGCUGGGUGCGAAACCCUGUCUUUCCUCGAUGCCUACUCAGGGUAUCACCAAAUCAGGAUGAAAGAGUCCGACCAGCUCGCGACUUCUUUCAUCACACCCUUCGGCAUGUACUGCUACGUCACCAUGCCGUUCAGCUUGAGGAAUGCGGGUGCGACGUACCAGCGGUGCAUGAACCAUGUGUUCGGCGAACACAUUGGCCGAACGGUCAAGGCCUACGUCGAUGACAUCGUAGUCAAGACGAGGAAAGCCUCCGACCUCCUUUCCGACCUUGAAGCGACAUUCCGAUGUCUCAAGGCGAAAGGCGUGAAGCUUAAUCCCGAGAAGUGUGUCUUUGGGGUUCCCCGAGGCAUGCUCUUGGGGUUCAUUGUCUCCGAGCGGGGCAUCGAGGCCAACCCGGAGAAGAUCGCGGCCAUCACCAGCAUGGGGCCCAUCAAGGACUUGAAAGGCGUACAGAGAGUCAUGGGAUGUCUCGCGGCUCUGAGCCGUUUCAUCUCACGCCUCGGCGAAAGAGGCCUGCCUCUGUACCGCCUCUUAAGGAAGGUCGAGUGCUUCACUUGGACCCCUGAGGCCGAGGAAGCCCUCGGGAACCUGAAAGGGAAAUGUGCCCUUGGGCCAUUUCUAAGUAUUUUGAUGAUUGAGUGCCAACACAAGUGCUUAAAUGUGAAAUCAUGCUUGUGGAUGGACAAAGUGCAAAUCAAGAGCAAAGGUAUGUUUCUAUGUCUUAGUACAUUGGUUUUGUGUACUAAUAUACUUGUCUAAGUAUUGGAAACAGGAAGAAAAAGAAAAGAAAAGAGUUGGCUGUGUACAGACAAGGGGCUGUUUCGGUCUGGGGCACCGGACUGUCCGGUGGUGCACCGGACUGUCCGGUGGUGCACCGGACAGUGUCCGGUGCGCCAGGCUGCCUCGGCCGAAGAGGCCGCUCUCGGGAAUUUUGCUGACGGCGUACGGCUAAAAUUCACCGGACUGUCCGAUGUGCACCGGACUGUCCGGUGAGUCAACGGUCGCCAGGGCCAACGGUCGGCCGCGGAUUCUGCGCGCGACACGUGGCCAAGCCAACGGUCGGAAGGGGGCACCGGACUGUCCGGUGUGCACCGGACAUGUCCGGUGCGCCAACGGCUCCCAGAUCUGCAACGGUCGGCUUCGCCAUUUAAGGAAAGGAAUCGGGCACCGGACACUGUCCGGUGUGCACCGGACUGUCCGGUGCGCCCGAUGACAGAAGGCAAGGAUGGCUUUCCUGAUUUGUUCUCAACGGCUCCUAGCUGCCUUGGGGAUAUAAAAGGGACCCCUAGGCGCAUGGAGGAAGACACCAAGCAUUUCUACAACAUUCUUAAGCACCAAGACAUCGCUCUCGCGCAUUCGUUUCAUUGUGAUAGCAUCUAGAGCUCUUGUUGAGUUGCGAACUCUUUGAGUUGUGUUGCGAGCUCUUGUUGCAACUUGUGUGCGCGUUGUUGCUCUGAUCUUUUGAAGUCUUGUGUGCGUUGCUCAUUCCCCCUUUGCUCUGUGUUCUUUGUGAACUUCAAUUGUAAGGGCGAGAGGCUCCAAGUUGUGGAGAUUCCUCGCAAACGGGAUUGAGAAAAAGCAAGCAAAACACCGUGGUAUUCAAGUGGGUCUUUGGACCACUUGAGAGGGGUUGAUUGCAACCCUCGUCCGUUGGGACGCCACAACGUGGAGUAGGCAAGCGUUGGUCUUGGCCGAACCACGGGAUAAACCACUGUGUCAACUCUGUGAUUGAUCUCUUGUGGUAUUGUGUUUUGUUGUGACUCCUUUCUAGCCACUUGGCAUUUAUUGUGCUAACACUUAACAAGUUUUUGUGGCUAUAAGUUUAAGUUAUACAGGAUCACCUAUUCACCCCCCCCUCUAGGUGCUCUCAGAACCUGAAGGCGCUCCUCACCAACGCGCCCAUCUUGGUGCCUCCCGCUGCCGGAGAAGCCCUCUUGAUCUACGUCGUCGCGACCACUCAGGUGGUUAGCGCCGCGAUUGUGGUUGAGAGACGGGAAGAGGGGCAUGCAUUGCCCGUCCAGAGGCCAGUCUACUUCAUCAGCGAGGUACUGUCUAAGACCAAGAUCCGCUACCCACAAAUUCAGAAGCUGCUGUACGCGGUGAUCCUGACGCGACGGAAGUUGCGACACUACUUCGAGUCUCAUCCGGUAACUGUGGUAUCAUCCUUCCCCCUGGGGGAGAUCAUCCAGUGCCGAGAGGCCUCGGGUAGAAUCGCAAAGUGGGCGGUGGAAAUUAUGGGCGAAGCGAUCUCGUUCGCCCCUCGGAAGGCCAUCAAGUCCCAGGUCUUGGCGGAUUUCGUGGCUGAAUGGGUCGACACCCAGCUCCCAACAGUUCCGAUCCAAUCGGAACUCUAGACCAUGUUCUUCGACGGGUCGCUGAUGAAGACAGGAGCAGGCGCAGGCCUGCUCUUCAUCUCGCCCUCGGAAAGCAUCUACGCUACGUGCUACGCCUCCACUUCCCGGCGUCCAACAAUAAGGCUGAGUACGAGGCUCUGGUCAACGGGUUGCGCAUCGCCAUCGAGCUAGGGGUCCAACGCCUCGACGCUCGCGGUGACUCGCAACUCGUCAUCGACCAAGUCAUGAAGAACUCCCACUGCCGCGACCCGAAGAUGGAGGCCUACUGCGAUGAGGUUCGGCGCCUGGAAGACAAGUUCUACGGGCUCGAGCUCAACCACAUCGCCCGGCGCUACAACGAGACUACGGACGAGCUGGCUAAAAUAGCCUCGGGGCGAACAACGGUUCCCCCGGACGUCUUCUCCUGAGACCUACAUCAACCCUCCGUCAAGAUCGACGACACGCCCGAGCCCGAGGCACCCUCGGCCCAGCCCGAGGUACCCUUGGCUCAGUCCGAGGCACCCUCGGCUCGGCCCGAGGCACCCUCAGCUCGGCCCGAGCCACCCUCGGUUCAGCCCGAGGUACCCUCGGCCCCCGAGGGGAGGCACUGCGCGUCGAGGAGGAGCGAAGCGGGGUCACGCCUAAUCGAAACUGGCAGACCCCGUACCUGCGAUAUCUCCACCGAGGAGAGCUACCCCUCGACCGAGCCGAAGCUCGGCGGUUGGCGCGACGCGCCAAGUCGUUCGUCUUGCUGGGGGAUGGGAAGGAGCUCUACCACCGCAGCCCCUCAGGCAUCCUCCAGCGAUGCAUCCCCAUCGCCGAAGGUCAGGAGCUCCUACGAGAGAUACACUCGGGGGCUUGCGGCCAUCACGCAGCACCUCGAGCCCUUGUUGGAAACGCCUUCCGACAAGGUUUCUACUGGCCGACGGCGGUGGCCGACGCCACUAGAAUUGUCCGCACCUGCGAAGGGUGUCAGUUCUACGCGAGGCAGACCCACCUGCCCGCUCAGGCUCUGCAGAUGAUACCCAUCACCUGGCCUUUUGUUGUGUGGGGUCUGGACCUCGUCGGCCCCUUGCAGAAGGCACCCGGGGGCUACACGCACCUGUUGGUCGCCAUCGACAAAUUCUCCAAGUGGAUCGAGGUCCGACCCCUAAACAGCAUCAGGUCCGAACAGGCGGUGGCGUUCUUCACCAACAUCAUCCAUCGUUUUGGGGUCCCGAACUCCAUCAUCACCGAGAACGGCACCUAGUUCACCGGCAGAAAGUUCCUGGACUUCUGCGAGGAUCACCACAUCCGGGUGGACUGGGCCGCCGUGGCUCACCCCAUGACGAAUGGGCAAGUAGAGCGUGCCAACGGUAUGAUUCUACAAGGACUCAAGUCUCAGAUCUACAACGACCUCAACAAGUUCGGCAAGCGAUGGAUGAAGGAACUCCCCUCGGUGGUCUGGAGUCUGAGGACAACGCCGAGCCGAGCCACGGGCUUCACGCCGUUCUUUGUAGUCUAUGGGGUCGAGGCCAUCCUACCCACAGACUUAGAAUACGGCUCCCCGAGGACGAGGGCCUACGCCGACCAAAGCAACCAAGCUAGUCGAGAAGACUCGCUGGACCAGCUGGAAGAGGCUCGGGACAUGGCCUUACUACACUCGGCGCGGUACCAGCAGUCCCUGCGAUGCUACCACGCCCGAGGGGUCCGGUCCCGAGACCUCCAGGUGGGCGACCUGGUGCUUCGGCUGCGACAGGAGCCCGAGGGCGGCACAAGCUCACGCCUCCCUGGGAAGGGUCGUUCGUCAUCGCCAAAGUUCUGAAGCCCGGAACGUACAAGCUGGCCAACAGUCAAGGCGAGGUCUACAGCAACGCUUGGAACAUCCAACAGCUAUGUCGCUUCUACCCUUAAGAUGCUUUCAAGUUGUUCAUAUACCUCGCUCCCACGCAAAGUUUAGUCAUCAAGGAACGGUUAGCCUUGCCUCGGCAAAGCCCGACCCUCCCUCGGGGGCUAAAAGGGGGGAACCCCCUCUGCGUCGAAAUUUUCCUCGAAAAAAGAUCCUUUCUGCCAGGAUGUUUUUCGUGCUUUUCGACUACUUCGAAAGUGGAUCCUGAAAACGACGGGGUACACGUAAGCAGCCAAGGCUGACCGAGCCGAGGGACUCCUACGCCUCCGGGAUACGGAUACCUCACUCAUCACCUUCUGCGAUAAGUAACUCGCGUCCGGAUAAGUGAUUCCGCGGACCGAACAAGUCUUCGCGCUCGAAAGCUCCUAUGCCGAAGCGAUUCUUCGGGCCUUCUCGACUGCGUCGGUGACAGGACCCUAUGGACGGGCAAGAGUGCGCGUAAGCGGCAAGGCCGACCGAGCCGAGGGAUUCCUACGCCUCCGGGAUACGGAUACCUCACUCAUCACCUUCCGUGAAAAGCAACUCUCGCUCGCACAGACAAAUCUGUUACCGACGAAAAAGUCCAGAUACUCGAAACAAGAGGAAAAGAAACGCAACUUUACAACACGACGAUGGCGUGUUUGGGCCUCGGCGGCCGCAGAAAACACACGCUACAAGAUAAUCUGAUCCUGCAGGCUCGGACCUCGAUAGUUGAAGGGAGCAGCAGCACCCUCGGCGUCGACUACACCUUCGGCGAGGUCCGACCUAGCCUCGGACGGCGACGCGGUCUGAGGAUCUCCACUCUGAAGGACGACGUCAUCAUCACGCCCGGGCCAUCGCCGCCAGGGUCUCCUCCAAGAAUCCGGCUCAAGCAGGCGGCUCGGCUGGUCACCCCGAGGCCUCGGCCAGCUGUCCCCCGAAGACAUCAGCCCGGCCCGAGGCCUCGGCAGAUCAACUCCGGCGUCGGUCCCGCUAACGGACGACCCGGCCAGGCUCCGGCCGACCAAGUCUUCUUUUCGAGCCAACUCUGCCUCUAUCCGUGCUGACACCGCUACCCCUGGCUUUGGCUCAUCGAAGGGCGGUCGAGGGGUUCCUUUAACUAAGCAAGAGAAGCCUCGGACAGCAAGGCCGACCGAGCCGAGGGACUCCUACGCCUCCGAGAUACGGAUACCUCACUCGUCACCUUUGCACGGGGCGACUCACGCUUGGUGAAGCGGUUCAGACAACCAACAGGCGAGUCUUAGUGCUCGAAAAUGAGGAAAAAACACGGCUCCGCGCCAAAAAUACAUACACGUUCAGGCCCCGACAGCCACAAUGAACAAAAGACCGGCAUUCAAGGUGCCAUUACAAAUGGAACUCCGGUUCCACCUCCGCAGGUACGAACAACCCCACACGAUUGGGGGGCCUGCGGAGCAACAGAAGACCGACGAACAGCUCGCCGUCGCCCGCUCCAGCAGCAGCGACGACGACGACUUUUGCUCCGGGGGGCCGAACAGCAGCAGCGAUGACCUCAGCGCGGAUGCUGCUGCCAUGAGGCCCUCGCCCGUGCCCUUACUCGUGAGGCAAGGACGGGCAGAAGGCCGUAGAGUUGGAGGUCGGUCCGUGGGCGGCCCCGGCUAUCUCGUCGGCGGAAGAACCUCUUCCAGCUGCCGUGGCGGAAGGCGACGCCGGGAGCGGCUCCGAAGCCACUCGGGUCAGAGAGCCAGGCACGCGGCAGCUGCCAACGCCACGAACGACGAACGCCUUUCCCCCCGAUCACUGAGGGAAGGAGCGGGCCGUCGCCCGCGCAGGGGCCGACCCCAACUCGGCACACUCCUCUCCCCAGCACUGAUGAUGAAAAUCCUUGAGGCUGAGGGAGGGGCAGAGGCCGCAGCCCGGCUUGCUUUCCCCUGCCAUCGAACUGGAGGUCACCGUCUUGGGUGACCGCCGACGGAGGGGUGCGGCCGUGCUGCAUGAUGAAAAUCCUUGAAGCCGAACGAUGGCUGAAAGGUACCAACUCCCACGGAGUUGCGUUCCUCCAACGACAAGGCAGAAGAAUUGCGGGUGUCCCCCAUCCGGGGGCUCGGAAGGUGGAAAGACACGAUGCAUAAGGGAGCGCGGAGACAUGGUCGCCUUUCAAGGGGGUCACCCUCCUUUUAAAGGCGACUCUCCCUACUUGCGUCCCCAGCCGUCGUGGGCUGAGUCUUCUCCAACACGCUCCAAGGUCAUCCCCCUACGGCGCGGGGGCUGGGUCCCACGCGUCAUGCAAACUGGCCCAGAGCAGAAGAAGCCAAACCGCCGCGCGCGGUGCAUGCAACUGCCCAGCGGUUACGAGCAUUCCUCCGCUUUCGCCCAGACCAGCGGGCGAAAGGGCGGGCAGCCAUGCAGGCGGCAUGCAACCGCGCCAAGUGGGUGCGCCCCUCCGACUUCCAACGCACCCAGCAUGGGGGCCCUGAAAGGGAAAUGUGCCCUUGGGCCAUUUCUAAGUAUUUUGGUGAUUGAGUGCCAACACAAGCGCUUUUGUGUUGAUCUAUGCAAUGUGGUAGACAAAGUGCAAAUCAUGUCAAAAGGUACGUUUCUAGACUUAGUACAUUGUUUUAUGGACUAAUGUAUUGUGUCUAAGUGCUGGAAACAGGAAAGAUUGAAUUGGAAAUGAGAUGGCUAUGUUCUGCCAGAGUCAGCUCGGUCUGGGUGCACCGGACAGUGUCCGGUGCGCCAGACUGGCUCUUGCGAACUCGCUGCUCUCGGGAUUUCAUCGACGGCGUACGGCUAUAAUUCACCGGACUGUCCGGUUAGCCAACGGUCAGCCGGGCCAACGGUCGGCCACGCGAUCCGCGCAGGACACGUGGCCGAGCCAACGGUUAGUAGGGGGCACCGGACUGUCCGGUGUGCACCGGACAGUGUCCGGUGCGCCAACGGCUCCAAGGCUGCCAACGGUCGGCUUCGCCAAAUAAGGAAAGAAAUCUGCACCGGACAGUGUCCGGUGGUGCACCGGACUGUCCGGUGCGCCAGGCGACAGAAGGCAAGAAUUGCCUUCCCGGAUUGCUCUCAACGGCUCCUAGCUGCCUUGGGGCUAUAAAAGGGACCCCUAGGCGCAUGGAGGAGAAGACCAAGCAUUCCUUGAGCACUCUUGAUCACUUACACUCCACUCUUGCGCACUUGUUCGACAUUCUAGUGAUUUGAGCUCCGUUCUAGUGUGCUAGUCUUGUGAGCUUAAGUCUGGGUCUUGUGUGUGCGUACUUGCUGUGAUCUUUGUGUCUUGUGUGAGUUGCUAAUCCCUCCCUUACUUUGUGCUUCUUUGUGAACAUCUUUGCAAGGGUGAGAGACUCCAAGUUGUGGAGAUUCCUCGCGAACGGGAUAUAGAAAAGAAAAGCAAACACCGUGGUAUUCAAGUGGGUCUUUGGACCACUUGAGAGGGGUUGAGUGCAACCCUCGUCCGUUGGGACGCCACAACGUGGAGUAGGCAAGCGUUGGUCUUGGCCGAACCACGGGAUAAACCACUGUGCCAUCUCUGUGAUUGAUCUCUUGUGGUUAUUGUGUUUUAUUGAGACUCCUCUCUAGCCACUUGGCAAUACUGUGCUAACGGUUAACCAAGUUUUUGUGGCAUUAAGUCCAAGUUUUACAGGAUCACCUAUUCACCCCCCUCUAGGUGCUCUCAAUUGGUAUCAGAGUCGUUCUCUUCAAGAAAGGGACUAACCGCCCGAAGAGAUGGAUCCUAAGGGCAAGGGGAUUGUGAUCAAUGACAAGGAGAAGGAGUCAUUCGUCAACGAGCCCAAGGAUGACAAGCCUACCGACUCGGGCUCGGGCCACAAACGCAAAGAUGGGAAGAAGAAGAAGACAAGACGCAUCAAGGAGAUCGUCUACUAUGACGACAGCGAUGAGUCCACUUCUUCCCAAAAGGACAACGACGACAACGACUACGAGAGAAGGAAACCGGUUAAUUCGAACUUUUCUUUUGACUACUCUCGUAUUCCGCAAAGUACAAAUGCUCAUUUGCUCUCCAUUCCACUUGGCAAACCUCCUCACUUUGAUGGAGAGGACUACGGAUUUUGGAGCCACAAAAUGCGUAGUCACCUAUUCUCUCUCCAUCCGAGCAUAUGGGAGAUUGUGGAAAGUGGAAUGAAAUUUGAUAGCUCGGAUAGUCCUAUGUUUAUCAAUGAACAGAUUCAUAGAAAUGCACAAGCUACUACUGUGUUGUUAGCCUCCUUGUGCAGGGACGAGUAUCAUAAGGUGAGCGGCUUGGACAAUGCCAAGCAGAUCUGGGACACCCUCAGGAUCUCACAUGAGGGGAACGACGUCACCUUACUCACCAAAAUGGAGUUGGUGGAGGGCGAGCUUGGAAGAUUCGCAAUGAUCAAGGGAGAGGAGCCAACCCAAACAUACAACCGGCUCAAGACCCUUAUCAACAAGAUAAGGAGCUACGGAAGCACACGAUGGACGGACCACGACGUCGUUCGUCUAAUGCUAAGGUCCUUUACUGUACUUGAUCCACAUUUGGUGAACAAUAUCCGUGAAAAUCCUAGGUACACCAAGAUGUCGCCCGAAGAAGUUCUUGGGAAAUUUGUAAGCGGACAAAUGAUGAUCAAGGAGGCAAGAUAUGUCGACGACGCGUUGAACGGUCCAAUCCAUGAGCCUCAACCCAUUGCUCUCAAGGCAACGAGGAGCAAGGAGGCGCUACCUAGCAAGGUGGCACAAGUUGAGGCGGCCGGGCUCAAUGAUGAAGAGAUGGCCCUCAUCAUCAAGCGCUUCAAGACGGCGCUAAAGGGUCGCAAGGGGAAGCCAAGCAAGACCAAGACAAAGGGGAAGCGCUCAUGCUUCAAAUGUGGUAAGGUUGGUCAUUUUAUUGCUAACUGUCCCGACAAUGAUAGUGACCAGGAAGAAGGGAACAAGAGGGAGGAGAAGAAGAAUUAUAAGAAGGCAAAAGGCGAGGCACAUCUUGGCAAGGAGUGGGACUCGGAUUGUUCGUCGUCCGACUCCGACAACGAAGGACUCGCCGCCACUGCCUUCAACAAGUCAUCCCUCUUCCCCAACGAGCAUCACACUUGCCUCAUGGCAAGGGAAAAGAAGGUAAGCGCUCGUAACACUAGUACUUAUGUUUCUUCAAGUGAGGAUGAGUCUAGUGAGGAUGAUGAAAUAGAUUAUUCAUGUUUAUUCAAGGGUCUAGAUAGAACCAAGGUGGAUAAAAUAAAUGAAUUGAUUGAUGCUUUGAAUGAUAAGAAUAGAUUGCUAGAAAAGCAAGAGGAUCUCUUAUAUGAUGAACAUGACAAGUUUGUAGAAGCUCAAAAAUCCCUUGCUUUAGAAAUAAAGAGGAAUGAAAUGCUUUCUUGUGAAUUGUCUACAUGCCAUGACUCUAUUUCUAGUUUAAAAAGCAUAAACGAUGACUUGACUGCUAAGUUAGAAAUAGCUAAUAAAUCAAUAUCUUGUGUAGAACAUGUUGUGGUUUGCACUAGGUGUAAAGAUUUUAAUAUUGAUGCUUGUAGUGAACACCUAGUUUCAAUUUCUAAAUUGAAUGAUGAAGUAGCUAGUCUUAAUUCCCAACUUAAGACUAGCAAAAGCGAAUUUGAUAAGUUAAAAUUUGCAAGGGAUGCCUACACUAUUGGUAGACACCCCUCAAUUAAGGAUGGACUUGGUUUCAAGAGGGAAGCCAAGAACUUAACAAGCCAUAAGGCUCCCAUCCCCGCCAAGGAGAAAGGGAAGGCCCCUAUGGCUAGUAGUGCUAAAAGGAACCAUGCUUUUAUGUACCAUGAUAGAAGACAGUCUAAUAAGAGUUGUAAUGCUUAUGAUGCUUUUGACUCUCAUGCCAUGUUUGCUUCUAGUUCUUCCUAUAUGCAUGGUAAAGAUAUGUCUAGGAGACAUUUUGUUCAUAUGCCUAGAAGAAAUGUUGUUAAUGUUCCUAGGAACGUUAAUGAACCUUCUACAAUAUAUCAUGCUUUAAAUGCUUCCUUUGCUAUUUGUAGAAAGGAUAGAAAGAUAGUUGCUAGAAAAUUAGGGGCAAAAUGCAAGGGAGACAAAACUUGCAUUUGGGUCCCUAAGACAAUUGUGACUAACCUUGUAGGACCCAACAAGAGUUGGGUACCUAAAACCCAAGCCUAAAUUUGCCUUGCAGGUUUAUGCAUCCGGGGGUUCAAGCUGGAUUAUCGACAGCGGAUGCACAAACCAUAUGACGGGGGAGAAGAAUAUGUUCACCUCCUAUGUCAAAAACAAGGAUUCCCAAGAUUCAAUAAUAUUUGGUGAUGGGAAUCAAGGCAAGGUAAAAGGGUUAGGUAAAAUUGCUAUUUCAUCCGAACACUCUAUAUCUAAUGUGUUUUUAGUUGAGUCUCUUGGAUAUAAUUUGUUAUCCGUUAGUCAAUUAUGCAAUAUGGGAUAUAAUUGUCUAUUCACAAAUGUAGAUGUGUCUGUCUUUAGAAGAAGUGAUGGUUCAUUAGCUUUUAAGGGUGUAUUAGACGACAAACUUUACUUAGUUGAUUUUGCAAAAGAGGAGGCCGGUCUAGAUGCAUGCUUAAUUGCUAAGACUAGCAUGGGCUGGCUGUGGCAUCGCCGCUUAGCACAUGUGGGGAUGAAAAACCUUCACAAGCUUCUAAAGGGAGAACACGUGAUAUGUCUAACUAAUGUGCAAUUCGAAAAAGAUAGACCUUGUGCAGCUUGUCAAGCAGGCAAACAGGUGGGAAGCUCUCAUCACCCCAAAAAUGUGAUGACCACAUCAAGACCUUUGGAGAUGCUUCACAUGGACCUCUUCGGACCCGUCGCCUAUCUAAGUAUAGGAGGAAGUAAGUAUGGUCUUGUUAUAGUUGAUGAUUUUUCCCGCUUCACUUGGGUAUUCUUUUUGCAGGAUAAAUCUGAAACCCAAGGGACCCUCAAGCGCUUCCUAAGGAGAGCUCAAAACGAGUUUGAGCUCAAGGUGAAAAAGAUAAGGAGCGACAAUGGGCCCGAAUUCAAGAACCUUCAAGUGGAGGAGUACCUUGAGGAGGAAGGGAUCAAGCACGAGUUCUCCGCUCCCUACACACCACAGCAAAAUGGUGUGGUAGAGAGGAAGAACAGGACGCUUAUAGACAUGGCGAGGACGAUGCUUGGAGAGUUCAAGACCCCCGAGCGUUUUUGGUCGGAAGCCGUGAACACAGCUUGCCACGCCAUCAACAGGGUCUACCUUCACCACCUCCUCAAGAAGACUUCGUACGAGCUUCUAACCGGUAACAAACCAAAUGUAUCCUACUUUCGUGUAUUUGGGAGCAAAUGCUACAUUCUAGUGAAGAAGGGUAGAAAUUCUAAGUUUGCUCCCAAAGCUGUAGAAGGGUUUUUGUUAGGUUAUGACUCAAAUACAAAGGCAUAUAGAGUCUUCAACAAAUCAUCGGGUUUGGUUGAAGUCUCUAGUGACGUUGUAUUUGAUGAGACUAAUGGCUCUCCAAGAGAGCAAGUUGUUGAUUUUGAUGAUGUAGAUGAAGAAGAAGUUCCAACGACCGCAAUACGUACCAUGGCGAUUGGAGAUGUGCGGCCACAGGAACAAGAUGAGCAAGAUCAACCUUCUUCCUCAACAAUGGUGCAACCCCCAACUCAGGAUGAUGAACGGGAGGCGUGUGAUCAAGGGGGAGCACAAGAUGUUCAUGUGAUGGAGGAAGAAGCACAACCGACACCUCCAACCCAAGUUCGAGCAAUGAUUCAAAGGGAUCAUCCCGUCGACCAAAUUUUGGGUGAUAUUAGCAAGGGAGUAACUACUCGAUCUCGAUUAGUUAAUUUUUGUGAGCAUUACUCCUUUGUCUCUUCUAUUGAGCCUUUCAGGGUAGAAGAGGCCUUGCUAGAUCCGAACUGGGUGUUGGCCAUGCAGGAGGAGCUCAACAACUUCAAAAGAAAUGAAGUUUGGACACUGGUGCCUCGUCCCAAGCAAAAUGUUGUGGGAACCAAGUGGGUGUUCCGCAACAAACAAGACGAGCACGGGGUGGUGACAAGGAACAAGGCACGACUUGUGGCAAAAGGUUAUGCCCAAGUCGCAGGUUUGGACUUUGAGGAGACUUUUGCUCCUGUGGCUAGGCUAGAGUCCAUUCAUAUUUUGCUAGCAUAUGCCGCUCACCAUUCCUUCAGGUUGUUCCAAAUGGAUGUGAAGAGCGCUUUCCUCAACGGGCCAAUCAAGGAGGAGGUGUACGUGGAGCAACCCCCUGGCUUCGAGGAUGAACGGCACCCCGACCACGUGUGUAAGCUCUCUAAGGCGCUCUAUGGACUUAAGCAAGCCCCAAGAGCAUGGUAUGAAUGCCUUAGAGACUUUUUAAUUGCUAAUGCUUUCAAGGUUGGGAAAGCAGAUCCAACUCUUUUUACUAAGACUUGUGAUGGUGAUCUUUUUGUGUGCCAAAUUUAUGUCGAUGACAUAAUAUUUGGUUCUACUAACCAAAAGUCAUGUGAAGAGUUUAGCAGGGUGAUGACGCAGAAAUUCGAGAUGUCAAUGAUGGGCGAGUUAAGCUACUUCCUUGGGUUCCAAGUGAGGCAACUCAAGGAUGGAACCUUCAUCUCUCAAACCAAGUACACGCAAGACUUGAUCAAGCGGUUUGGGAUGAAGGACGCCAAGCCCGCAAAGACUCCAAUGGGAACCGACGGACACACCGACCUCAACAAAGGAGGUAAGUCCGUUGAUCAAAAGGCAUACCGGUCAAUGAUAGGGUCUUUACUUUAUUUAUGUGCUAGUAGACCGGAUAUUAUGCUUAGUGUAUGCAUGUGUGCUAGAUUUCAAUCCGAUCCUAAGGAGUGUCACUUAGUGGCGGUGAAGCGAAUUCUUAGAUAUUUAGUCGCUACGCCUUGUUUCGGGAUCUGGUAUCCAAAGGGGUCUACCUUUGACUUGAUUGGAUAUUCAGACUCCGACUAUGCUGGAUGUAAGGUGGAUAGGAAGAGUACAUCGGGGACGUGCCAAUUCUUAGGAAGGUCCCUGGUGUCAUGGAGUUCUAAGAAACAAACCUCUGUUGCCCUAUCCACCGCUGAGGCCGAGUACGUUGCCGCAGGACAGUGUUGCGUGCAACUACUUUGGAUGAGGCAAACCCUCAGGGACUUUGGCUACAAUCUAAGCAAAGUCCCACUCCUAUGUGAUAAUGAGAGUGCUAUCCGCAUGGCGGAUAAUCCUAUUGAACACAGCCGCACAAAGCACAUAGACAUCCGACAUCACUUUUUGAGAGACCACCAGCAAAAGGGAGAUAUCGAAGUGUUUCAUGUUAGCUCCGAGAACCAGCUAGCCGAUAUCUUUACCAAGCCUUUAGAUGAGCAGACCUUUUGCAAGUUGCGUAGUGAGCUAAAUGUCUUAGAUUCGCGGAACUUGGAUUGAAUUAUAGCAUACAUGUGUUUAUGCCUUUGAUCAUGUUCCUUAUGCAUUUUGUUGUUUAUUUAUGGUGCUCAAGUUGUACAAGCACUCCCCGGACCUUUCAAGUCCAUUUGCAAGGGAUGCACAAAUUUAGGGGGAGUUGUGCUACAACUUGACCCUUUGAGACUAAUCGUGUGCUUGAGUUUGCUUGUUUUAGUCUCAAAGGAGGUUUGAAAGGGAAAAGGUGGACUUGGACCAUGAAAGACUUCCACUGCACUCCGAUGAGAGAGUAACUUAUUCCAUGUUCAUCUUAGUACUCUUAUUGCCUUUUUACUCUUAGUUCAAGAUUUUGGUGAGGCAAUGGGGUUAAAGGGCCAAGAUUGAUCUCGUUUUGGUGCUUGAUGCCAAAGGGGGAGAAAAUAAAGGCCAAAGCAAUAAAUGGAUCAGCUACCACUUGAGAAUUUUGAAAAUAAUAGAAUAGAGUUUUUGUUUUGUCAAAAUACUCUUAUUGGCUCUUUUUGUCAAAAGUUGGCUUCUUGUGGGGAGAAGUGUUGAUUAUGGGAAAAAGGGGGAAAGGGGGAGUUUUUGAAAUCUUGAAUCAAUUUUUCUUGGAAUAACUCUCUUUAUGUCUUAACAAGUGUGUUUGACUUAGAGAUAGAAAUUUGAGUUUGAUUUGCAAAAACAAACCAAGUGGUGGCAAAGAGUGAUCCAUAUAUGCCAAAUAUGAAUCAAAACUAUAUUGAGUUUUCAUUUGCAUUGAUAUUGCACUUGUUUAGUUGCUUUAUGUUGUGUUGGCAUAAAUCACCAAAAAGGGGGAGAUUGAAAGGGAAAUGUGCCCUUGGGCCAUUUCUAAGUAUUUUGGUGAUUGAGUGCCAACGCAAGCGCUUUUGUGUUGAUCUAUGCAAUGUGGUAGACAAAGUGCAAAUCAUGUCAAAAGGUACGUUUCUAGACUUAGUACAUUGUUUUAUGGACUAAUGUAUUGUGUCUAAGUGCUGGAAACAGGAAAGAUUGAAUUGGAAAUGAGAUGGCUAUGUUCUGCCAGAGUCAGCUCGGUCUGGGUGCACCAGACAGUGUCCGGUGCGCCAGACUGGCUCUUGCGAACUCGCUGCUCUCGGGAUUUCAUCGGCGGCGUACGGCUAUAAUUCACCGGACUGUUCGGUGUGCACCGGACUGUCCGGUGAGCCAACGGUCAGCCGGGCCAACGGUCGGCCGCGCGAUCCGCGCGGGACACGUGGCCGAGCCAACGGUUAGUAGGGGGCACCGGACAGUGUCCGGUGUGCACCGGACAGUGUCCGGUGCGCCAACGGCUCCAAGGCUGCCAACGGUCGGCUUCGCCAAAUAAGGAAGGAAAUCCGCACCGGACAGUGUCCGGUGGUGCACCGGACUGUCCGAUGCGCCAGGCGACAGAAGGCAAGAAUUACCUUCCCGGAUUGCUCUCAACGGCUCCUAGCUGCCUUGGGGCUAUAAAAGGGACCCCUAGGCGCAUGGAGGAGAAGACCAAGCAUUCCUUGAGCACUCUUGAUCACUCACACUCCACUCUUGCGCACUCGUUCGACAUUCUAGUGAUUUGAGCUUCGUUCUAGUGUGCUAGUCUUGUGAGCUUAAGUCUGGGUCUUGUGUGUGCGUACUUGCUGUGAUCUUUGUGUCUUGUGUGAGUUGCUAAUCCCUCCCUUACUCCGUGCUUCUUUGUGAACAUCUUUGUAAGGGUGAGAGACUCCAAGUUGUGGAGAUUCCUCGCGAACGGGAUAUAGAAAAGAAAAGCAAACACCGUGGUAUUCAAGUGGGUCUUUGGACCACUUGAGAGGGGUUGAGUGCAACCCUCGUCCGUUGGGACGCCACAACGUGGAGUAGGCAAGCGUUGGUAUUGGCCGAACCACGGGAUAAACCACUGUGCCAUCUCUGUGAUUGAUCUCUUGUGGUUAUUGUGUUUUAUUGAGACUCCUCUCUAGCCACUUGGCAAUACUAUGCUAACGGUUAACCAAGUUUUUGUGGCAUUAAGUCCAAGUUUUACAGGAUCACCUAUUCACCCCCCCUCUAGGUGCUCUCAGGCCCACGCCCACGCGUCACGCAACCGGCGCGCCGGUCGCUACGUGCAAGCGACUGCACCGCCACUCGCACCACUGCCACGCCUCCUCGACUGUGGAACCAGUACCGCGACUCGAGGCAACCCUGCGUACGACCCAGCAGUGCCAGCCAGGCGCGACGGUCAAUACGGCCAAAAAUGGGCCGGCAGUAAUGGCGGUGGCAGGCAGGCGUGAGCAGCGGUCACGUCGUCAGCCAAGCUUACGUCCCAUCCUGGGGCAGUGAGAGAACCCUCUCUCACGGCGUGAAGACGGCGCGCCCGUGUUCCAUUCCUCGAACGGCUCGCGCACGCGCAACGGCCGCUCCGCGAACUGCUCGCCCCGUCGCAUUAACUCCGCGGCGGGACAGGCGGCGCCUCUGGCAGGAGAAGCAAGCGACGCUUCGCCUUCGCCAUAAUGACCGCGUCAAAAAAGGUACGCCACGUCAUUCGAUUUCGUAUCCUUUUCCUUUUCCUCUUUCUCUCUCUUACAACAGGGACCGGGAAAGGGGGAUACCCCGAAAAGGAUCCUUCUCCAUGAAGGAAACAGGCUCCGAGCCUCCCUACUGAUCAGAGGUUCGAACGCUGGCCCCUCGGGGGGGGGGGGUUCAACAGCCGCCUCAGAGCGUGUGGGUUCUGCACCCACUACUGGUCAGAGGUUCGAAGGCCGGCCCCUCGAAAGGGUUCAACGGCCGCCUCAGGCCACUCGGGCUCCGCGCCCACUACUGAUCAGGGGUUCGUAGGCUGGCCCUCGAAGGGUUCACAGCCGCCUCAGACAUAGAGCGAGGGAUGACCCUGGGUACGUUCGAUACAUAACCGAGGCUCGGGCUAUGCUCCCGAGGUACCCUAGGACAUUUCCGAGACCAGCGGGAACGAUCUUGUAACGGAAUCCCAUCAGAGGGAGGCAUCGAGCCCUCGGACCCCGUCGACAGGGGACCGAGUCCGGCAGAUCACCCGCAGGUACUUUUGAGCGCGCCUCCGGGCCUCUAGCCGACCCCUAACAAAUGGGGCACGGGCGUCCACUCGGAUUACCCGCCAGCAGCUCACCGGAGACACCAUGUUCGGCGCCCUCCGAGGGCAACAUGGCGCUUCCCCCCCCCCUCCUCCUUGCGGAAAGGCGACGUAGGGGUGUAUGUAAAAAAGUCGAGUCUGCCCUUGACCGUCCUCUCGCCCUGUGCAGAGGCUCGGGGGCUGCUCUCGCAAACCCGGCUCCGGCCAAACCGUUGACAGCGUCAACAUACCAGCCCGAGGACUUGGGACUCGACCGUGCACCCGGGCUACGACCAGCUCGCAUGAGGGAACGACCAGACCAGCCGAAGCAUUGCGCGAGGCAUUAAGACCUCGGAGGAGUCAAACCACUCCUCCGAGGCCUCGGGGGCUACACCCGGUGGGUGCGCUCGCGCGCACCCACCGGAAUAAAACGCAACCGAGAAAGGCUAGUCCCCUUGCAAAAAAGUGCGACAAAAGCCUCCAAGCGAGUAUUAACACUCCCUUCGAGGCUCGGGGGCUACUGUCGGGGACCAUAAUUAGGGGUACCCUCAAGACUCCUAAUUCUCAGCUGGUGUCGGUGUUUUGGGUCCGACCGCACACCCGGGGUUGCCCCUCAAGGUGUUUUUAGGAGUAGGACGGUGUCGACGACUGUAGCAAAAUGGUUCGUGCCGAUCGCACGAGGGACAAUGGACGAGAUUUACAGGUUCGGGCCGCUUAGAAGUGCGUAACACCCUACGUCCUGGUGAGUUUACGAGCGUGGUUACAAGAGAAUUCUCUGGAUAGAGGGCACAGAGAGUUUUUUGUGGGUGGCUAAGUAGAACAGGGUCGAUCGAUCUGAAGGGGUGCCCCCUAGGCCUUAUAUACUCGGCCGUGGAGCAGUACAUGUGAUAUGAUAACAACAAGUAGCUAAAAGUUAGUGAACCUCUUGAGUUUAUCCCUACGUAAUCUUCGCCGACUUAUCCUCGCAUGGCUCUGUUGCAUGAGGGCUUCAGCGCGGGAAAGUCGGGUCUCUGUUAUGAUCCAUUCGUUCGACGUUGUGGGCCGCCUGUGUUUGCACUAACCAGUCUCACGUCUCCUUUGUUGGUUGUCUUUUCCUAGGCCCACGAAAGAAUGACCUUACGAAUUAUUGGGCCCUUGGGCCGUUCGUGAGGCCUUUUACUUCUUUAGUGGACCCAGGGGAUAUCUAUCCCCCACAAGCCCCCGAUCUUUGGGUUAAUUUAGAGGUAAUCAACUCAAAGAUCCAAGGUCCAAAAAAUGAUUUCCUGCUGUCUUCUCUGGUUUUGAUCACUUGUCCGACCAAAGUUUGGCUUUAUGCUUGUGCCUUAGAGGUCGGCAUUUUGGAUUGUAAGACUCCGAAAUUCAUUGGGUGCACCGGAGGUGCACCCAAUGGGUGUAGCCCCCGACCUUUGAGUAGAUUUUAGAAGAUAAUUUACUCGAAGGUCUUCUUCCAAAGGUUAUCUCCAUUCGCACUCCUGCAUCUCGGUUGAGAAUUAGUCUUUUCAAUCUUGCUCUACGCCUUAGAAGUCGGCGCUAUACCGGUUUAGAAUAAUAUUCCAUGGGGUGCACCGGAGGUGCACCCAAUGGGUGUAGCCCCCGACCUUCAAAUGGAUUUUUUAAGGAUAAUCCAUUCGAAGGUUCUCCUUUCACUUGCGGAAACUGGCAUGAGGCUAUUUUGCAUUAUGCUUUGGAGGUCAGCAGUAUGUCAUCCAUAUUUUGCUGCCCAGGUCAGCGUAUAUUUUGUCUUUAGCAGCCGAGUUUGCAAUCCAUCCAUAUCUUGCUAGGUAGUGCAAUUUAUUUGCUUCUGCGAUUGAUUGGACGUUUGACGGACGUUCUCUGUCUAGUUCUCACGUCGCUUCUGUCGGCCAUAUCUUGUACUUUGCUGGUUAUAUUUGGCUUUCCUCUGAUCCUUACUGAUAUCUCAUUUUUGUCUUGAGGUAUUCACUGCAUGCCCUGCACGGAUGUGACCGUUUGAAAAAUAUACUGAUAAUUCCUGGGCGUCCCCCCCAAUGGGUGUGGGCAAGGGACGGCUUGGUACGCUGAGUGUUUUAGCCGGUUGCCUCUGAGUAGUAAUGCGAUGGGACGGCUAGUGUAAUCAUAUCCUUUGCGCUGUUGACUGGAGUCCCAAUGGGUGUAGUGUUGCAUGAAACGGCGUCCGCCGUCUGACGUGUCUUCGGGUGGGUGGAAGUGCUUAUUGAAUGCCUUGCGACUGUUCAGUGACCGCGGUUAGAAGUGAGCGGUUGCCUUUCCCUUCUAUAAAUAACCCCUUUGCUUCUCUGGUUUCUUCAUAUCUCUUCGCUGCUCCUUACUGCCUCUUCCCUUUCUUCUCUCCCAAAGCUUUAACCAUGGGCAAGAACAACAAGCGCAAGCGUGAGCCGACUCCUCCAUCGGAGGAGUUUGGUGACUCAGAAUACUCGGAGGAGGAAUUCUCCUCCGAGCCCGAGGGGUCUCCGGCUCCCGUCUCUCCCCCGGCGUCGUCCGAUGACUCGGACGACUCCCAGCGGAUAGCCGCGGAGGUCUGGACAUAUAUCCGGGCCGUCGAGCGCGCCGGGCUCGAAGGCUCGGAUGAGUCGGAGUACUCCUCGGAUGAGGAGGACUCGGACGGCGGCGACGAGGGUGAAGACGACGACGACGACGACGAUGACGACGACGACGACGGCGACGGCAGUGGCAGAGGCGGCGGCGACGGCAGCAGGGACAGCACCAAGGGCGGCAGCAGCAGGGACAGCACCAAGGGCAGCAGCAGGGGCAGCACCAAGGGCGGCGGCGGCGGCAGGGGCAGGGCCAGUGGCUAGACGCCACUGGUCUUCUUAGAUAUUAGUAUAGUUUAGUAUAGCUAGAAUAAUGUAGUAGUAAUUAGUGUAAUUUAGUAGUAGUAGUAAUGUAGAGUAGUAUAUUGUAGUUUAGUAGUAGUAGUAAUGUAGAGUAGAAUUAGGGAAGUACCAACUCGUAAAGAGUUGGUUUGUAAACUCGUUAACUUCCCUUUAAUGAAGUCUGUCGUUUAUCCCCUCUUUUUGAUGACUUGCCAUUGCUUUUGCUGAAUGUUGAACUGAUUCUUUUGAUUUGGUAGAAACAACGCCGAGCGAUGUGAAAAUUGACAUCGGCGUUUUAGAGGUAACCCUGAGCAAUCGAACACAAGACCAGCGUUUUAGGGGCGAUGCCGAAUGAUAGAAGGUCGGCAUCGGCAUUUUAGAAGUAAUGCCAAGCGACAAAAUACGGGGCUAGCAUUUUAGAAACAACGCCGAGUGAUUAAAUGUCGGCAUCAGCAUUUUAGAAGUAAUGCUGAGCGUUUGAACACGUGGUCGGCGUUUUAGAGGCAGUGCCGAGUGAUUGAAGGUCGGCGUCGGCAUUUUAGAAGUAAUGCCGAGCGAUUGAACACGUGGUCGACGUUUUAGAGGCAACACCGAGUGAUUGAAGGUCAGCGUCGGCAUUUUUAGAAGUAAUGCCGAGCGAUUGAACACGUGGUCGGCGUUUUUAGAGGCAACACCGAGUGAUUGAAGGUCGGCGUCGGCAUUUUAGAAGUAAUGCCGAGCGAUUGAACACGUGGUCGGCGUUUUAGGGGCAACACCGAGUGAUUGAAGGUCGGCGUCGGCAUUUUAGAAGUAAUGCCGAGCGAUUGAGCUCGUGGUCGGCGUUUUAGAGGCAGCGCCGAGUGAUUGAAGGUCGGCGUCGGCAUUUUAGAAGUAAUGCCGAGCGAUUGAGCUCGUGGUCGGCGUUUUAGAGGCAGCGCCGAGUGAUUGAAGGUCGGCGUCGGCAUUUUAGAAGUAAUGCCGAGCGAUUGAGCUCGUGGUCGGCGUUUUAGAAGCAGCGCCGAGUGAUAGCCAGCUUCUCAAGUUACUUUGAGGAAAAUGACCGAGUGAUGAGGUGGCACAUUGGCUUUCUUGGAAAUAACUGUUGGAUAUCCACGUGGCAUGCUGGGAUUUCGGAGAUGACCGCCGGGUGAUGACUGGGCACUUUUGAAAAGGUGUCUUGGCUCAAGAAUAUCCCUUAAGAGUCGCGCUUUUAGCCGCCUUUGCUUUCUGUGCCCUAGUUCUUGCAUUUCCGCAUCUGAGUCUUCUCUGCCACUCGCCUCCUGCUCUGUUUCGCCAGCGAGAAACAAGAUGGCGCCCAAGAGGAAAACCGCGAACUCGUCUGCUGCAGUGAUCCCCGCCAUCGACCCCAACAGUCAGUUACCCUUCGCAGGUAACCAUAUGUCUGUGAUUUCUGAAGUUGAGCUUCUCCGCCUUGUUUCCAUCGGGGUUCUCCCUCCACGGGAACUCUGUUCUUGGCGUUCUUGCCACGGGACCACUGUCCCAACCGAAGAUACCCACGAGUCAGUGGUUUACACUCCUUUCCUUCUUCGCGGCCUCGGCCUUCCCAUAUCUCCUUUUUUCCGUGGUAUCCUUGAUUUUUAUCACAUCAACCUGACUCACUUGAACCCUAACUCCAUUCUCCAAAUCUCUAUUUUCGUUCACCUUUGCGAAGCUUAUCUUGGCGUGCUGCCGCAUUUUGGCUUGUGGAAGUAUCUGUAUCACUGCCGUCCUGGGAUGGCCGGGGGGCAACAUCAAUUGGUCGGAGGUGCCAGUUUAGAGAUGCGCCGGGGGCGGAAGACCGAGUAUCUCGAGAUACCCCUCAAAGACAGCAUUAAAGGUUGGCGUCUGGAGUGGUUUAUAAUGGAUAAUUAUGGAAAUUCUCUCCCUUCCCGCUCAGGGAGACAGGCAGACGUUCGUACUCCGAGUUGGACUGAGUCUCCCACGGACCAAGAAGUAGCCGAGGCGGGCGUGUUGCUUACUGAGGUUGGAUUACUGAAAGAGAGAGGUCUGACUGCCGAGGCCGUGGUCACAGAUUUUGUUUUCAAAAACAUUCAGCCGCUGAAAGACAGAGCUUAUCCGGCAUAUCUUUACCGAGGGCUGGCCGACUCAACCCGAGUUACUAAUAGGAGAAUUCCUUCUGUGGAUUUGGUGAGCCGACUCGAAAUGAUCCUCAGGGGUAAAGUUUCAAACGUUGGAGCUCCAGUGGCAUACUCGGCUUGGAACCUACCUUCUUCCCAAGCCUUCACUCUUUUCGUGUCCAACCCGCCCGUGACAGAUAGCAAUCUGGGUCUUAGAGUUCGACCUUCUGCUGAAGAGGUCCGUUCCUUAGUUGCUUCGCUCGGGGAGAUACCUGAUGAUGAACGGCAGAUUUAUUUUGAAGUGCCCCUGAACCCUAGUGACGCAGACAUAAAUGACAUGCUCGAUCUGCUAGCUGAGGAUUCAUCUGAUACUGCUCCUGAUGGUACAUUGGCAGUGGUGCCUCUUCCAGAAGUUGAUGCGACCUUGGAUGUCUCGAAACCUGUCAACACUCGCCCGAGGCGUCCUAGCCGAACCAGUCAGCCCGAGCCUUCUGCUGAUGAGCAGAAGAAGAAAAGAAGACGCCUCCGGCGAGUGUCCAGCUUUGACGAGGAUGCCAGCACCUUAGCUCCUGCUGCCGAAAAAAUGACUGCAACUGGCCUUGCUGACAUUGAUCUCAAUGGGUGUGCUCCGCCUGCUGCUGACCCCAAUGAGGAUGCUGUUUGUGCUGUUGCUGUGGAAGAUGAGGAGGAAGAGAAUGAAACUCCAUUAACUCGGAAAAACAGUCGGCAGUUCGUCGCUAGCGGUGGUAGUAGUGGGGUUCCUUCUCCUGCCUUGUCUGCUCUUAUUGGUCUGCAAGAACUGUCCAUGGCCAAUUUUGAUCAAGCUCUAGAGGAUAUGGUCCCUGAGAACUUGCUGUUAGAACCUGCAGACGCUGAUGUAACAGAAACUUGUGCGGCCGUGCCAGAUGCUGGGUGGAGGUCGUCCCGUGCCUCGUCGACCUUAGAGCGCGAUCUCGAGGGCCGGGAUGAUGACUUGGAUCGUCCUGAUCCUAUGGAAGUAGCUGAAGGCCCGUCGACCUUAGAGGUGGUCACGGCAGAAAGCUUGGAUCCCUUGAAUAGCGCUGACAUGUGCCCGGCCCCCGAGGGUGUCGCCGGGGAGGACUCAACUCAGGUGAGGAGUGUAGGCCACUACCCAGCCCCCGAGGGUGUUGCCGGGGGUGACCCGGCUCAAGUGGGCAGUGCCAACCCUGACCCAGCCCCCGAGGGUGUCCGAGCGGAGUCUCCCUCCUGCACUUCCAUGGAUGUUCAUGUGGGUUCACCUCCACACUCUGGCGGCAUGAUGGUGGCUCAAACUCCAGAUCAGGGGGUCGCUUUGGAGGGCAGCAUCCCCACUGGUCUGGCGUUAAGCUCUGCUGAAUGUACUGAGCUCGUUCCUGCCGGUCUGCUGCAAGCUGCUUCGAGUGGUGGUCUGGCACCUGGUCAUCAGCUGAUUUCUCCUGACUGGGGGAUCCCUUCGCUUUUCUCCAACCUCCAGGUGCUGUGCUGUGCUUUAGUUUGAUCUUUAUGUUGCAUGAAUUGUUGCCAUUAUGCUCAUCCGCUCUUCUUAUCAGGCUUUGGUGGAUGGAAUGGUCGGCCAGCUGAAGUCGUAGGGCGCUUCCCUCCCGGAGGUGGCUUCAUCUCUUGAGCGUUGGAAUCCGGUGUUGCUUCGGGGUCGUGUAUCUGAGUUGGAGGCCGCCAAUGCUGGUUAGUGUCCUUUCUUCUUCUUCUUUGUUCUUGCCCGUGGGUUGUUUUAUUUUCUGACCUCAUUUUGUUGGAAUACCUCUUGAUAGGGAUGACUCGGCAGAUCACAGUUCUUGAAGAAAAACACUCUCAAGAUCAAGCUGAAAUGGCUCGACGAUGCGCUGACUUCGAGGAGAAGUAUUCUCAAAGUCAGAUCGAGUUGAGUCAGGUCUCUGCGGCUUUGGAUGAUGCCAACGCUCUGAGUUCUUCUCUUCAUGCUCAGCUUGACUCUGAGAAGGUAGCUUACGAACCUGUGCUUCGCCUUAUCGUGCUCUUGGAUUCUGAAUGAGUUGACUUCUGCUUGUAGGAAGAAAAACGCAUCCUUGCUGCUUCUCGCGACAACUUGGACAGAUUGUACCGAGAUUCCAGCAACUCGCUGACCAUCUUGGAGAGGAGCCACCGUUUUACGAUGGAGGAGCUUGACAAUCAGCGCCGUCAACUGCAAGAAUCCUCGGACGAAGUGGCCCGCCUUACACAGUUGCUAUCGGCAAAGGACGCCACCAUCAAGGGACUCCGAGUUUCCAAGAAAUCCAUUGCUCAGGAAUUAGAAACUGCUCAGCAGGCUGUUAAAGUUGCUGAAGAAGCUGCUGUCACUUUCAAAGCUCAGCGCGAUAAGGCCCUGGACAAGGCCAUUCGGGCGGGACGGAUCUUGAUGAGAAGACCCGGCGUGGUUGUCCCUGAAGAUAUAAGAGCCGACGUGAAUGCUGCCCCUGAUUCCUCGAAUCGCCCUUCUUCGUCAGUCGUUCCUGAGAAAGACAUUGAAAAAUAAAGAAACAGUUUGCGUGCUCUGGGCGCGCAGUUAGCAUGAUCAAGUACUCGCUAGAGGUUAUCGGCUUGUCAUUCGAAUGACGCGAUUACUCCCUUAUUGUAUCAGAAUUUAUUAGUUCGCAAGUUUGUGGCUACGCUGCCCGAUGAUUCAUGAAGUUUGUUUGUGGGAUAUGGAGGUCAUCCCUUGAACUGCAUAAGCGCAAGUAUGCUAUACUGGUUUAAGCCGUCAAUUACUUUUAGCCGGUAACUUCCGUUAGUAGGGCAUAGUGGCCACCCCCGGUAGAGUAAGCGUGAGCAUGUUGCACCGCCUUAAGUCGUUGCCGACUUAAGUCGAUUGCUCCGUUUGUAGGGCAUAGUGGUCACCCCGAGUUAAGUAAGCGUGAGCAUGUUGCACCGCCUUAAGUCGUUGCCGACUUAAGCCGAUUGCUCCGUUUGUAGGGCAUAGUGGUCACCCCGAGUUAAGUAAGCGUGAGCAUGUUGCACCGCCUUAAGUCGUUGCCGACUUAAGUCGAUUGCUCCGUUUGUAGGGCAUAGUGGUCACCCCGAGUUAAGUAAGCGUGAGCAUGUUGCACCGCCUUAAGUCGUUACCGACUUAAGCCGAUUGCUCCGUUUGUAGGGCAUAGUGGUCACCCCGAGUUAAGUAAGCGUGAGCAUGUUGCACCGCCUUAAGUCGUUACCGACUUAAGCCGAUUGCUCCGUUUGUAGGGCAUAGUGGUCACCCCGAGUUAAGUAAGCGUGAGCAUGUUGCACCACCUUAAGUCGUUACCGACUUAAGCCGAUUGCUCCGUUUGUAGGGCAUAGUGGUCACCCCGAGUUAAGUAAGAAUGCAAGUCAAUCAUAAAUGAGCCAAGUAUCUUUGAAAUCUCUCUUUAUUGAUCACGUAUUUCCAUUAUACAGAAUACAUGGUCGCUUUGGUUGUUUUGAAAUACAGCUAGGGGUAGAACUUUCGGAGGUGCUCUAUGUUCCAGGAGUUCCCAACUUCCGUGCCAUCCAUUUGGGUGAGGCGAUAUGAUCCGGGACGAGUGACUUCUGCUACUAUGAAAGGUCCUUCCCAUAAGGGUGAUAACUUGUGCCGUCCCUCCCCCGUUAGAAUUCGGCGGAGGACGAGGUCUCCCAUCGAAAAGAAACGUUGCCGCACAGCUUUGUCGUGGUAGCGCCUUAGAGUCUGCUGGUAUCGUGCUGAUUGAAUCACUGCGUUCAGUCGUUCUUCCUCAAGUACGUCAAUAUCCUCCAGCCUAGUGGCUUCGGCUUCUGCUAUGCUUUCGAAGAUCAAUCUUGGCGCCCCAAACUUGAGAUCAGCAGGUAGCACUGCUUCCGACCCAUAGACCAUGAAGAAAGGAGUGUUUCCAUGCAGGGCCCGGCUAGGUUGGGUUCUCAAGCUCCAAACAACAUAAGGCAAUUCUUUUAUCCAUUUUCCUGCGAAUUUUUCAUUUUUAUCAAAGACCCUUUUUCUAAGUGCCUCCAAUAUCAUUCCGUUGGCUCGCUCAACCUGCCCGUUGGCUCUUGGAUGGGCUACAGAUGCAUACUUGAUCUGAAUGCUUUUUUGCUCGCAGAAGUCAAAGAAUUCUGAACUGGUGAAGUUGGAUCCCAAGUCAGUGAUGAUACUGUUUGGUAUCCCAAAUCUGAAUAUUAUGCUUUGUAUGUAUUCCACAGCUUUAGCAGAGGUUAAGGAGGCAAUGGGCUGAAACUCUAUCCAUUUAGUGAACUUGUCAAUUGCCACCAAUACAUGGGUGUAUCCUCCUUGAGCUUUCUUGAAAGGUCCAAUCAUAUCCAAUCCCCAGCAUGCGAAAGGCCAAGUUACUGGUAUGGUUUGUAGCUGCUGUGCUGGCAUGUGCUGUUGUUUUGACAGAUAUUGGCAAGCUUCGCAUCUCUGAACUAGCUCGGCUGCAUCAUUCUUCGCCGUCGGCCAAUAGAAUCCUGACCUGAAAACCUUCCCGACUAAUGUUCUGGAUGCUGCAUGUACUCCGCACUGCCCGGCAUGGACUUCCUCCAGAAGUUGCUUCCCGGUGGACGGGAGAACGCACUUCAUGAGGACGCCUGACGCGCCCCUCUUGUAUAAUAUCUCCCCAAUGAGUGUAUAGUGAGCUGAUUGUCUGGCAAUGCGCUCUGCCGAGUUCUUGUCAUCUGGUUCUUCUUCAUUCUUUAUAUAUUUAAUAAUCGGUUGCCUCCAGUCAUCAGAGUCUGACUCGGGUUGGUCUAUGAUGUUGCACUCUUCUAUUUGAUCCGUCGAGAUGCUCGGCUGAAGGAUUUCUUGCACGAAGACCCCGGGCGGGACUUGAGUCCGACCGGAUCCGAGCUUGGACAGUACAUCAGCCGCCGUGUUCCGAUCUCUUUCUAUAUGAUGGAACUCCAGACCUUCGAAUUUAUCUUCUAGCUUUCGGACGGCGGUGCAGUAUCUUCCCAUUGAAUCACUUGAACAAUCCCAUUCCUUGUUUAUCUGACUGAUGACUACCAGAGAAUCUCCGUACACCAUCAGUCUCUUGACACCCAGCGAUACGACGAUGUUUAAUCCGUGUAUCAAAGCUUCAUACUCGGCUGCGUUGUUAGAGGCCGGGAAUAGCAAUUGGAGAGCGUACUUGAGGUGUUCGCCUCCAGGUGCGGUGAAGAGAAUUCCUGCUCCUGCUCCCUGCAGCUUCAGCGAGCCAUCAAAAUACAUUCGCCAUACUUCUGCGGUUUCUGGAUUAUCCGGCACUUGCUGUUCUGUCCAUUCUGAUACGAAGUCGACCAGUGCUUGAGUUUUGAUGGCAGUGCGAGGUCGGAACUCGAUAUCAUGGGACCCCAACUCGCAAGCCCACUUGGCUAUUCGGCCAAUGGCUUCCUUGUUGUGAAGAAUGUCCCCUAUUGGAAAGCCAGUAACUACUAUGACUUUGUGGUCGUCAAAGUAGUGGCGCAGCUUGCGGGCAGUUAGAAGUACUGCAUAUAAUAGCUUCUGAACUUGAGGAUACUUUUUCUUCGAUGGGCCUAGAACCUCACUGAUGAAGUAGACGGGAUGUUGUACCGGGUAGGCAUGCCCUUCUUCCACUCGCUCGACUACCAACGCAGUGCUUACCACGUGAGUCGUGCAAGAGAUAUAUAGCAGCAAAUCUUCAGCUGGCUGAGUCGGCGUAGCUCGCCGGGGCGGUUUCAAUACUGGCGGUGUUGUCAGGAAUUUCUUCAGUGCGUCUAGAGCUUCCUGUGCCUCUGAAGUCCAUUGAAACUUAUCCACCUUCUUCAGCAAUUUAUAAAAUGGCAAACCUUUUUCUCCCAGCCUGGAUAUGAAUCUGCUCAGGGCUGCCAUACAUCCAGUGAGUCGCUGAACUUUCUUUUGCGAUCGAGGAGCUUCCAUCUUCAUGAUAGCUUCAAUCUUAUCUGGAUUAGCUUCAAUUCCCCGGUGGCUGACAAUAAAUCCGAGUAACUUUCCUGCUGGUACCCCGAAAACGCACUUUUCAGGAUUAAGUUUCCAUCUAUAUCUUCUCAGGCUGUUGAAAACCAGCUGUAAGUCUUUGAUGAAGUUUUCCGGAUUCUCCGUCUUGAUCACCACGUCGUCUACGUAAGCCUCCACACGCUUGCCCCAGUGAUCGGCUAAGCAUGUUUGAAUAGCUCUCUGAUAAGUCGCUCCAGCGUUUUUGAGGCCGAACGGCAUGGAGGUAUAACAGAAAGCACCAAACGGGGUGAUAAACGCCGUUUUUUCCUCGUCUUCUUUUGCCAAACUAAUCUGAUGAUACCCGGAAUAGCAAUCUAAGAAAGACAGCAUCGAACAUCCAGCGGUGGAAUCCACCACCUGAUCUAUCCUCGGGAGCCCGAAGGGAUCCUUCGGACAGUGUUUGUUGAGAUCAGUAUAGUCGACGCACAUGCGCCAAUCCACUUUAUUCUUUUUGAGUACAAGAACAGGGUUGGCUAACCACUCGGGGUGUAAUACUUCUCUAAUAAAUCCGGCCGCGACCAAGCGGGCUAACUCGGCACGAAUGGCUUCUCUCUUGUCGGGCGUGAAACGACGCAGCUUUUGCCGGAUCGGCCUCGCCUGGGGAUAGACCUUCAAUUUGUGCUCGGCCAGUUCUCUUGGGACUCCCGGCAUAUCCGCAGGUUGCCAUGCGAAUACGUCUCGGUUAUCUUGCAGGAACUGGACGAGCGCGCUUUCCUAUUUGUCACUCAGACUGGAGCUGAUGAUGGCCGUCUUGCGCUCAUUAGCGAACCCCAGGUUGAUCCGCUUGGUGUCCUCAGUCGGCCGCAUAGAGGUCGCGGCCUGAGCUUCGUUUGCCGGCACGGCGAGGUCUUCUUCAGGCUUAGAGUUCGCCGGUGUAGAAGGAACCGCUGAUGGCUUGGUGGUGAGGGCUGCUUGGAUGGCCACUCGGAAGCAUUCUGCGGCGCCUUGGAAGUCGGCGCGUACAGUUAUGAUUCCUUGCGGCCCUGGCAUCUUUAGUAUCAUGUACGUAUAGUGUGGGAUGGCCAUGAAUUUGGCUAGCCCCGGCCUCCCGAUGAUGGCGUUGUACCCGCAGUCGAAGUUCGCCACCUCGAACCUCAGGAACUCGGUUCUGUAGUUAUCCGGAGUCCCGAAGGUGACCGGCAUGUAGAUGUGGCCCAGCGGGUAUUCCCCUUCCGUCGGCACGAUGCCGAAGAAAGGAGUGUCCGACUCGUGGAGCUCUUUGAGGUGAACUCCCAAGCCUUGGAGCGUGCGGGGGAAGGUGACAUUGAUGCUGCUCCCCCCGUCCACUAACACCUUCUUCACCCGGCUCUCUCGGAUCACCGGAUCGACGAGGAGCGGGUAUUUGCCUGGGUGGUCGAAGUUGAGCCAUUGAUCCUCCCGAGUGAACGUGAUUGGGUGCUCCGACCACCGGUACGGGGCGGGAGGGCCGGUGGUCGCCACCAGUAUCUGGCGGUCGUUGAGCUUUUGUUGUCUCUUGUUCUCCUGCGACCCAUGUCCGCCGAAGAUGACGUUGACCUCCCUGUCAACGCGCGGGAAAGCUCCUCCUCCCCCCUCCUCCGGCUGAUGGGGCUGUCGUGGUUCAUCUGGUCCUCCCCUCGGCGGAGGAGGUGGUAGAGGUUGAAAGGGUCGGCCAUGCCCGACGGAGUGCUUGAAAUCCCGGCAGUUGCGGAGAGUGUGUCGCAUGUCCUUGUGGUAUGGGCACUGGGCGUCGAGGAUGUCGUCCAGCGUGCGUUCGCCUCCACGAGGUCCUCCUCGGGCACGAGAGGCGGGUGGUCCGGCGGCGUGUACCUCUUCGCGAGGCCUCUUCUCCCAGCGCUUGUCGGGCGGCUGGUUCGCGUCGCGUCGUGGUGCCGCCGGCGCGGGCUUUGCUCCUCCGAUGAGGUCCUGGGCCCGCUCGUCAGCGGUGAUGUAGAGGUCGGCUUCCCGGAACAGCUCCUCGGAGGUAGUCGGCGCCUUUUGCAGUAUGGCUCGGACGAAAGCCGAGUCGUUAGAUCCCCUGUAGAAGUCCUCGAUUACGGCCGCCUCCGUGACCUCGGGGAUGCGGUUUCUCAUGGUCUGGAACCUUUUAAGGUAUGACCGGAGAGUCUCAUCCCCCCGGCGCUUGAUGGAUUUGAGGUCCCAUGGUUGCGCUGGCUUGUCGGAGAGAGACUGGAAGUUGGCGGUGAAACGUCGACUGAAGUCUCCCCAGUCGUCGAUGCAGUGUCGGGGUAGAUGUCGUAGCCACUGCAGCGCGUCUUGCCCGAGGACGAUGGGCAGAUACGCAGUCAUGACGUCCUCGGAUGCCCCGGCAGCCCGAGCAGCGGUGGUGUAGACGGCCAACCAGCCCCCUGGAUCCUGCUUAGGUUCAUAUUUGUCGACAUUGGAUACCUUGAAGUUGGGAGGCCAUUGGAUGGCCCUAAGGCGCGGAGUAAGGGCAGAUACUCCGCACGUGUCCUCCUGUCGUCGAGGAUGUCGUCUGUCCUGGGGAGGGGAGUGGCGGUGGUGGUUCCUCGACCGUCCCCGGGUGGUUCCACCAGUUGAAGCUGUUGCCGACUCAGUUCGGGUGGCCUGGCUUUGAGUCGGGAAGCCAUGAUCUCGGUCAUACUCCUCCCGACGGCGAAUUUCGUUCUCGUGCCGCCGUUCGCGCGAAGCAUUGAUAGAGCUCCGCGCGUCUCGGCGACUGUUGAUGGCGUGUCGCAGAUCGUUCGGCGGGUGAGCGAGCGGUAGAAGAUGGUUGGCUGCCUGAGUGAACAGGCGCCGGUAUCCCUCGGCGUCGGGGGUCCGAGGAAGUCCGUCAGCUAUCCGGGCUAGAACGCCUCCGACCUCGCUCGGCGUGUUCAUAGCUCGGGCGAAGUCAGGGUUCAAGUUGCGCCCGAAGAGCGGAUUCUCGCGUCGUUGCCUUGCGUCUUGCUCGGCUUGCUCCUGAGUCCGACGGCGAUCACGUCGUCGGGAGUUCCUUCGUUCCCUGAAGACGCGUUCUUCCGGAGUUUCUCCUAUCUCUGAGACCUCGUCUCGCGAGACAGGCUGCUCCGGAUCCCGUUCUCCAGCUGCGUGAUGUCGUCGAACGUUUCUGCGUCGGUUCCUUCGUCGGCGGGAUUCUCGCUGAGGCGGUUCUUCUCCGGGCGCGGUCGGUUCAUCGUCGGAGACGGCGAGCGACUCUGCCCUCCCGAUGAAGAGGACGUCGGGGUAGAACGGUAUUGCUGCCGCGGCGACUUUCUUUCCGUUCUCCUUUGAGGUCGGGGGAACGGGAAGAACGACCGGCCUCUCCCUGAUCUCCUUCCUUCUCAUGAUCUGUGUCCAUUCUUUCGUCGGGGAAGUAGACAGCGGAGUCUUCCGGGUCAGCGAGCUUCUAGCUCCAGCCUCCCCGGAGACGAUCUUGUUCCAAAGAGCCGGAGGUAGCGUCUUUCCAGCAUUUUCGGAGUUUGUUGGAGGAGACUUCUGUUCCGGCAGAUCCGCGAGGCGGUGUAGGAUUCCUUCUUCGUCCGCCACGGAUGAGAUUGUCCCGAAGCAGAAUAUGGAUCCGGGACGCAUGGUGAUCUUGCUGUGGAAGGUGACGGCCAUUGAGCUAGCUUGGAUCGUCGACACACCCCCUACCUGGCGCGCCAGCUGUCGGUGUUUUGGGUCCGACCGCACACCCGGGGUUGCCCCUCAAGGUGUUUUUAGGAGUAGGACGGUGUCGACGACUGUAGCAAAAUGGUUCGUGCCGAUCGCACGAGGGACAAUGGACGAGAUUUACAGGUUCGGGCCGCUUAGAAGUGCGUAACACCCUACGUCCUGGUGAGUUUACGAGCGUGGUUACAAGAGAAUUCUCUGGAUAGAGGGCACAGAGAGUUUUUUGUGGGUGGCUAAGUAGAACAGGGUCGAUCGAUCUGAAGGGGUGCCCCCUAGGCCUUAUAUACUCGGCCGUGGAGCAGUACAUGUGAUAUGAUAACAACAAGUAGCUAAAAGUUAGUGGACCUCUUGAGUUUAUCCCUACGUAAUCUUCGCCGACUUAUCCUCGCAUGGCUCUGUUGCAUGAGGGCUUCAGCGCGGGAAAGUCGGGUCUCUGUUAUGAUCCAUUCGUUCGACGUUGUGGGCCGCCUGUGUUUGCACUAACCAGUCUCACGUCUCCUUUGUUGGUUGUCUUUUCCUAGGCCCACGAAAGAAUGACCUUACGAAUUAUUGGGCCCUUGGGCCGUUCGUGAGGCCUUUUACUUCUUUAGUGGACCCAGGGGAUAUCUAUCCCCCACAGCUGGUAACCCCCAUCAGCACAAAGCUGCAAAGGCCUGAUGGGUGCGACUAAGUCAGGGAUCGGUCCAUUCGAGGGAGUCGAUCACGCCUCGCCCGAGCCCAGCCUCGGGCAAGGGCAGCCGACCCCGGAGGAUCUACGCCUCGCCCGAGACCCCCCUCCAGCGACGAACAUACUUCCGGCUCGCCCGAGGCCCAGUCUUCGCCAAGAAGCGACCCUGGCCAAAUCGCCACGCCAACCGACCAAAUCGCAGGGGCAUUUAAUGCAAAGGUGGCCUGACACCUUUAUCCUGACGCACGUCCUCCAGUCGACAGAGCCAAAGUGACCGCAGUCACUUCGCCGCUCCACUGAUCGGCCUGACGGAAGGACAACGUCGCCUGCGCCGCUCCGACUGCUGUGCCACUCGACAGAGUGAGGCUGACAGGCAUCCAGGCCCGGCCUCGGGCACCAUAGGAAACUCCGCUCCGCCCGACCCAGGGCUCGGACUCGGGCUCAGCCCCGAAAGACGGCGAACUCCUCUCCGCCCGACCCAGGGCUCGGACUCGGGCUCAGCCCCGGAAGACGGCGAACUCCGCUUCGCCCGACCCAGGGCUCGAACUCGGGCUCAGCCCCGGAAGACGGCGAACUCCGCUCCGCCCGACCAAGGGCUCGGACUCGGGCUCGGCCCCGGAAGACGGCGAACUCCGCUCCGCCCGACCCCAGGGCUCGGACUCGGGCUCAGCCCCUGAAGACGACGAACUCCGCUUCGCCCGACCCCAGGGCUCGGACUCAGCCCUGGCCUCCGCCGACGGUCUCUGCCUCGCUCGACGCAGGGGCUCGGACUCGACCUCGGCCUCGGAAGACAGACUCGACCUCGACCCCGGAGGAGCCUCCACAUCGCCCAACCUAGGGCACGGACCGACCACGUCAACAGGAGGCGCCAUCAUUACCCUACCCCAAGCUGACUCAGGCUACGGGGAACAAGACCGGCGUCCCAUCUGGCUCGCUCCGCCAGACAAGUAAUGAUGGCGCCCCGCACGCUCUAUGACGACGGCGGCUCUCAGCCCCCUUACGGAAGCAAGAGGACGUCAGCAAGGACUCGACAGCCCCGACAGCUGUCCUUCCGCCAGGCUCCAGCGCUCCUCCGACGGCCACGACACCACACGAACCGGGUGCCAAAACCUCUCCGGCUGCCACGAUGGCAUGUACUUAGGGCGCUAGCUCUCCUCUGCUAGACACGUUAGCACUCUGCUACACCCCCAUUGUACACCUGGAUCCUCUCCUUACGCCUAUAAAAGAAAGGACUGGGGGCCUCUUACAGAGGGUUGGUCGCGCAGGGAAGAGGAUGGGACAGGCGCUCGCGUGAGGCCGCUCGCUCCCCUCCCGCGUGGACGCUUGUAACCCCCUACUACAAGCGCACCCGACCUGAGCGCGGGACAAACACGAAGGCCGCGGGAUUUCCACCUCUCUCUCGCUCCGGCUGCCCUUUUCCCCCCUUCGCGCUCCGUCUCGCGCCGACCCAUCUGGGCUGGGGCACGCGACGACAUUUCACUCGUCGGCCCAGGGACCCCCCAGUCUCGAAACGCCGACACCACCCCACAUAUAUGUUGAAUAAAUAUUGUUCUGCUAUGUAAUAUAUCUGACAAAUGGCAUGAAUUAAAAUAUGUAGUUAAUAGGAUUCUGAAGAUCCGUCAUGAGAUCCUAUGAGGAUUCAUAUCUUUGAUUUAUAAAUAUACAACAUAUAAAUCUCAUACCGGACAAUACAUUCCUGAUGAAUGACCACUCUCCAGUGUAGAGAGAAUAUCUCAUAGUUGAGAUUAUAGUUCCCAACUGGAACCUUCAAAGAGGAAACAAAGUCUAUGUUCAACAACAAAGUUUGAUAACCCCAAUAAAGGGAUAAAGACCCAUACAGACAUGAAAAAGAAUAAGAUGAGGUACCAAAGGACUUGAAGUUCACCGAAUAAGCACACGUGCAUUCCACGAUCUUUACUCAUGGUAUUUUCCACUAGAUGUGGAAUUACGGUAUCCUCUAAAGCCCCGGUAGCAGAAACCUAUAAGGUUUAGGUUUUAAUGGCAAAAUAUCCCCAUUGUGUCAAAAUGACAGACUAUAACAAUAUAUCUGAUCCAUGAAAAAUCCCUGAUGGAUUACUAUCUGAAAGGGAAUUAGGCUUACACCUAGUUCCUAAAUAAUUUUGGUGGUUGAAUUGCCCAACACAAAUAAUUGGACUAACUAGUUUGCUCUAGUGUAAAAGUUAUACAGGUGUAAAAGGUUCUCACUUAGCCAAUAAAAAGAUCAAAUAUUGGAUUCAACAAAGGAGCAAAGGGAUAACCGAAGGCACCUCUGGUCUGGGGCACCGGACUAUCCGGUGUACACCGGACAGUGUCCGGUGCACCACCGGACAGUGUCCGGUGCACCAGAGGACUCCAACUCAAACUUGCCACCUUCGGGAAUUUCCAGAGACACUCGGCUAUAAUUCACCGGACUGUCCGGUGUACACCGGACAGUGUCCGGUGCUCCAAGGAACAGCGGCCUCCAGAACUCGCCAGCCUCGGGAAAACGCAGCGGCUGCUCCGCUAUAUUUCACCGGACAUGUCCGGUGUACACCGGACUGUCCGGUGAACCAGCAGGGCAACGGCUACUCCGCGCCAACGGUCGCCUGCAACAGCAAUUAAUGCGCGCCAGAGCGCGCAGGCGUCAGGCACGCCCAUGCUGGCGCACCGGACACUCUACAGUACAUGUCCGGUGCGCCACCGGACAUCCAGGCAGGCCCAGAAGUCAGAGCUCCAACGGUCGGAAUCCAACGGCAUUGGUGACGUGGCUGGCGCACCGGACAUGUCCGGUGUGCACCGGACUGUCCGGUGCACCAUACGACAGACAGCCUCCACCAACGGUCAAGUUUGGUGGUUGGGGCUAUAAAUACCCCAACCACCCCACCAUUCAUUGCAUCCAAGUUUUCCACUUCUCAACCACUUACAAGAGCUAGGCAUUCAAUUCUAGACACACCAAAGAGAUCAAAUCCUCUCCAAUUCCACACAAGGUUUUAGUGAUUAGCGAGAGAGAUUUGCCGUGUUCUUUUGAGCUCUUGCGCUUGGAUUGCUUCUUUUCUCUCUCACUUGUUCUUGUGAUCAAAACUCCAUUGUAAUCAAGGCAAGAGGCACCAAGUGUGUGGUGGCCCUUGCGGGGAAGUUUUGUUCCCGGUUUUGAUUUGAGAAGAGAAGCUCACUCGGUCCGAGGGAUCGUUUGAGAGAGGGAAGGGUUGAAAGAGACCCGGCCUUUGUGGCCUCCUCAAUGGGGAGUAGAUUUGCGAGAACCGAACCUCGAUAAAACAAAUCCACGUGUCACACUCUUUAUUUGCUUGUGAUUUGUUUUGCACCCUCUCUCGCAGACUCGCUUUUAUUUCUAACGCUAACCCGGCUUGUAGUUGUGUUUAUAUUUGUAAAUUUCAGUUUCGCCCUAUUCACCCCCCCUCUAGGCGACUAUCACUAUCUUUGAUGGACUUUUGUUACACCAUCUUAAUUGUUGCAAUGGAUGAACGCCUGUAGCGAUGUGUCAUAUUUAGAAUAUGUACUAUUGCAACUAUAUUAUCCCCUAAAGUCCUAUAGAAGGACAUGUUACUUGCUUUGCACAACUAUGUAUGAAUUGUGGUGUAAGAUAGAAAAUUUUAGCACCCCAACUCAUCCAUUCUCGUUAUUCCAGAUGAACAAUGAGACAUAUAUCUUAAAGAAUAUGCUUGAGUUAUGAGGGAUAACGACUUUGACAAAUAUCAUCGUUAGGGGGAGCGAAUGCUUAUAUUGAUCACAAUCGUGAGACAAUAAAUGUCAUAUUCUAUGCCCUGAAGGAAUCAACUUGAUGAUCAAUAUGUGAACCUUUAUGGAAGUUUCUAUCAAAUAUAAAGAUCGAGUCGAUCAAACACCACCAGCCAUAGUGGCUUGUUAUGUUGAUACAUGUACUUACCUCGUAUAUCCUAGAAGUGAGUAGAGGUGAAGUUCUUGAUAUAAUCCUUGCAACAGUAUGCAAUCUGUUUGCUAAAUCUCUAUGUGCGUAUACUUCCAGAAGAAGAUGUUGUGCCAUAUUGAUACGGGUUUGUAAGGAUCAGGAGAGCACAUUUCUAAAUUUAGCCCUUGUAGAAGAUUCGAUGGAAUCCUGAUCCAGAAGAUCGAAAUUUGUCUUGAUGACAUUUGCUGUACUCUUUUUCCUUAGUGAGUUUUUCUGAAGUUUCUCACAUAAGGUUUUUAAUGAGGCAACAAAGUGCAAAUGCAAAUUGUGUCACCAUGUACUCUUUCUCCAUAUUUUUCCCACUGGGUUUUUGGGAGUUUUAAAGAGGCAUCUGUUGGUCGCGGUAUUCGCCCAAGGGGGAGUGUUAAGUAACCCUAGUUAGAGUUAUGUGGGCAAAUACCGAUUUUGCCCCUGAGGGGUCUCAUAUCUCUAUACAAGGAACCUGUACACCCCUUUCAUAUGACAGAGAUAAGAAAGACGCAAGAGGCCCUACCAUAUAUCAUGUGUCUCGUGUGUUUCCUCUGUCGUGCUUAUGGGAAGGGAGACGGGUUCUCUACAGCUUCUUGCGCCUCUACUGCUGACGGGAGGGAAGAGAGCGGAUCUGGUGAUCCGUGGUAACGUAGUUCUUAACAGGUCCAAAAGAGACAAAUAAGUAAACUAAAAUUGUUAGAAAACUAGGUACUGCUAGUGAAGCAACAUGGGCCGGCCGGCGAAGAAAGGACCUACUAGCAGGCUAGCAGCGACGACCGAUACGACCCAAAGCCCGCAAGGCCGCAACGUACCCCACUUUCUAUCGGCCUCCUCAUCCGCGCUGGAGGCGUCACGGCCCACCCCUAAUCUGGCCUCGCCACGACCUGCCCACCACUUCAUGUCCUCUCUAGCCGCUGCCGACCUGUCCUGGCGCUGGCGGUUGUGCGGCCGCCGCCUACCUCCCACACUCACACGGCCCACACGCCAUGCGGCCCAUGCCGCCGCAGCCUCACACUCGCACUGCCUCCCAUACUCACAUGGUCACACGCCAUGCAGGCUAGGCCUAGCACUCGCACCACCACCUGGCGCGACGUUGGGUGGGUGCUCCCGUGCGUCGGUGCCUCGCACUCGCAGUCGCAGUUCAUCUGCAUGCCGACCACGAACUGGUCCGCGUACACGGCGUUAUGUUUUUCCUCCUUUUUUCUCUUCGCGUCGCACAUGCAAAAGGAAAAAAAAAAUCCCGCCGACACACGCUGGCUCUGCGUUGACACAGCAAGAGGGAAAACCAUCCAGAUCGCAGCCAGCAGCUGUCCGAAUUCUCGAUUCAGAAGAGCAGCCUCCAGCCAUCUGACGCAAGAGUGGCUGCUGGACGAGGCGUCCUAGGUUUGUCGUGAACACUUGUUCGACGUCGUUGGGAGGGGACGGGACGAGUGUUCUCUGUUUCGCAAAACCGAUUCCAAAACUAAAACGCAGGCAGGCGCUCUGUGUGCUGCCGUGUGCCCUUGACCCGUUUGUGGUGCGGAGGGCACUACCAAAUGUGACGUCAACAAAGCAGCCAUGGGACUUUUUGAAAGAAAAGGAAUGCUGUCUGCUGCUCGUCCCGUAAGACUGUGUACAACGGGCGACGCUUGCGUCCCCCUCCCCUAUUACUGUAGCACAGAUAGGGGCUACAGUGGCCCUCUAUCCCCUACACCGCCUUCCUCUUCCUCCUCCUCUCCCCCUCCCGAUUUCUUCUCUCUCCCGCUAAAUGGAUGGGGACGCUACGGCGGAGACCUUCCCCCCAUCCGCUUCCUUCGCACACAAGCGCGCGCGCUCGGAAUACUCCGACGAAGGAGGUCGAGCCGAUCCGUGGGCGAACCAACCGCCGGCGGACAAGGUACGCGUCGAUCCGCCGUCUCCCCCGAAUCGUUUGUCUGCGUCCGGCCGGCGAGCAGAAGUCGGGUUCGUCCACGCGAAUCCGCCUUCAUCCUUCCCGGACCGGCGACCCGGCCGAUCCGUGUGAAGACGUCGGCGCCGCUCGUCUCUGUCCGCCGGAACGUCAGCUGCGGGGUCGAGGUCGAAGGGAGGUCAUCCAUUCUCCGAUAGAUCUACGCUCAGCCAAUCUGCUUCAUUCGAGCUUCAAGGUCCAAGGUACGCUUCGUCGCAUCUCCAAGGUCUACACCUCGGAUUGAUCCGAGUUCCUUUAAAAUCGUACCUUGGAUUACCAUUAGGGUUUAGAUGUACUUUACUUCUUUCUGCGCUACGAUUUAUGUGUUCAUCGCCUACUUUAACUAGUUAGGGUUGUGGUUAAGGCCGACAUCCGAUUCGCCUAUUGUUUAUGUACACCAACCAAGUUUCAUAUUGUGGUACACAUAGAUCUCAACCUAUCCUCAAUCACGUAUUGGUAACUGAUCCGUGGUAAUGAAGUAAAAAAUUUAUACUACGCUACAUAGGAAACAAUAUUGAGACUACAGUGUCAUUUGCAUAUUCGUCGUCCUCGUUUAUUUAAGAUUGUGUACCCACCAAUUUGUCCAUUGUCAAUUGAUUUAAGAUUCCUGUGGAUUCUAUGUUGUUUGCUCAAUGUUGCUGGGACAGAAUUGCAUGUUAAUGUUGAUAUUCGAAGAACUCUGUAGCAUUACCGUUGAAAAACCCCAACAGAACACCUUGUUCCUUCCAUAUCGAUUACUUUCAAUUGGACUUAGUUCGUGUGGCUACGAAAUGGACUCAGUGACCCUUGAAUUUCGAUUAGUCUUGCAUUACAUGACCAACCAUUGCAUGCAACUAACGAAACCUUUACUUAUUAUGCAGCUUGAUUAAAAUAUUUGAUUGUUUGACGUCCUCUUCAACUAAUUGAGGUUCUAAAUUCUUUUUCGCUAUAGUACAUUGUUUUUUAUCAAUUGCAUAAGUCUGUCUCCAUGAUUUCUGUCUGUGGUUUCAUGUAUUAUGUGCAACUAUAGGUUAUUAGAUGCAACCCACAUACGUGCGAAAGCCACGAUACAUGUGUAGAAAUACUUAACCAGUGCAUAACAUUUCAAGCAACAGUUCUUUGCUAACAGCCAUCACCAGAUUAGUUCACUACAUUGAAAAAUUAGUUUAUUAUAUUGCAACCCAUAGAUGUUUCCUAACUGCCAUGAACAAUUUAAUUUGACCAAUUAGGAACAAGACUGCACCUAAUUUUUUCAUGUAUGCACCUUGUCUAGCCAAGGAGGUCCAGGUUGAGGAUACGAAUCAAGAUGAGCACCCAUGAUGCCAAAGUGUUGCAACACUUGGUCGUCAAUCUUGCAUCCUCUGUGGAAUCUGGUGCUUUCAAUAUUAGAAGCUUUCUAGAAGAGGCUUUCCGUCAUUUGGGUGACGAGCAUU